AAAGCAUUCCUGUCACUUGGGAGGUUGGUACGUGCUCUUCUGAUAAGGGCAAAGGUAAGGCUUGAGCUGUUGGGUGUCCAAAUCCGGGGUGCCCAAAGUAGUUGGGCUUGGGUUCUUUUUGGGCCUGUGCUCGAUCCUUUGGGCCCCUAGGUUUGUUUGGUCCCGCAGUUUACCUAGCAUCUCAAUUUUAAUUUUUGAUAUUUAAUUCUUGGUAACUCUAGUUGUACACUAAUUGCGGUCUCUAAGCGACUAGUUUUACUUCCAAUGAAAGUUAGAUAGACACUUUGAAAUUCGGGUGUGUACGUAGGCAUAAUAAGUGAGCUUAUAUAUAUGCAGUGAGGGCUACCUAUCAGUUAGUCUGUUAGCUUGGGUUGAAUUCAAUAUUUGGCACAAGACGUUAGUUGAUGUAAGUGUUUUUUUGCCGUGGAUAAAUAAUAAAAUUAUUUAUUUAAAAAAAAAUCUAAAAGGAAAUAGAAAGGGUAGAAUUGAUAAUGCAAUAUUAUGAUUUAGAAAAAUAUAUUAUAUGGAAUUGAAAAUAAAUAUUUUUAUUUAUAUGACAUAAUAUAUAAGAUUAAAGCCACAAAUUUUAGGUCUCACCCCCUCAUAAUAUCAACGCCCUUAUUAUGUAUGACUCAAUAACUUAUUACUUUCUCACCUUUUUUUUUUCUUUGAUACGUACGUAGUUUUCUUGAAUUUCUUCCAAUACAUCAACAUGAUUAAUUCGUUUUUAUUGUUUUGGAUGAAGGUUUAACCAAGAUAACUACAAAGCCUAAGGAGCUGGGGUCCAUGCAUCUCGCCUUAUUCUAAAGGGUAGGAAGUGGCUGUUGAAGAUGCUCGAGGAGGAUGGUUUGCUAGAGGAGGUAAAUCCCUCUACUGAUUCUUCAGAAGCAAUGGAAGUGGUUGGCAAAGAGGUAACUCUGCCUCCAAAGAAGAAGCUUUCAACUGAAGUUGCUACAGUACAUGGAGAUGAAAAAGGCGGUAGUUAAAGUGGUGAACUCCACUUCGAUUAUUACAUCUGCUUGAUCGGGAGAUCGACAAGAAAAAUAAGAAUUAUGUUGACACAGUUUAUAACACUUCGGAGUUUUUAAUCUCUUUGUUUUUGGUUUUAUCUUCGUAGAAGGUGAGUGUAUUUGGAUUUAGCUAGGAUAGUUUGUGUGAGAAGCGUAUUAUGGGCAUGUCGUUAUUUGUAUUGUUUAUUGAGAUUCAUUAAUGAAUAACCUCUCUUUACCAAAAAAAAAAAAAAACGUCACAACAAUGGAAUCACGAGCGAGUUAAUUGGAGCAUCAGAUCGUACUUUUCUAUCAUCUAUGAUCACUCACAAUAUCAAAUUCCACAACGUUGAAAUUUCAUAAGAAAUGGGAACUUGUAGUACGUGUCUCUACGUACUUGCCUCAUAUGGUUACUUGCCCCUACUUGCUUUCUCUCAACAAAUAUUGUCAUACUAGUCCUCUCUUUUUUCUUUUUUUUUAUCACGUUUGAAUAUCCAGCAUUUAACCGUCCAAAAAUAAAAAUAAUCUUAAAAAUUUAUUAAGUACGUUUUAUCUAAAUUAAGUGUCUUUCUAGUAACUUUCGUUGAUGAUGAGAUUGAAUAUUAACAUGCACUCUAUGAUCACAUCUUGCUGAUUCAAGUGAAAAAUUUAGUAAAUCAACAAUCUGUUCGAUCGGUUAUAAUUAGUACUACAUAAAACAACAGUGAUUGAUUCGAUAAUAAAUCCCCUUAUCUUGAUGCCUUAUACAUAAGAAAUAAUUGGAGUAGUAGUUUAAUAUAUGAAUUCGUCAAUGUAGGUGCUGGAUAUUUCUCUAGAGCAGUUCGCAAAUGGUGAUGCAUGCUUGACGCGGAGCUAGCUCGAUCGCAAGUAGCUGGGAACACAAUACUGGAAUUUUCAAAGUCAUGCAGUAGCUUUGACUAUGAAGAUCAUGACUGAUGGAUCCGAUCGCCCCUCAUAAUAUCAGCAAUUUAUUCAUUUGUGUAAUACAAAGUCGGUCGGAAAUGUCUGGUACAAGAGCAAUCAAUAGCUUUGAGGAAAUAGUACAUCUUCAAAUAUGUGGCUAAGCCCUGCCCAUUGAUUUCUGAUCGAUUGUUCAUACGGAUGUCGAUCGAUGACAAUAUGUUGAGUGGCUAUAUAUUAAUUAGUGUUGUCUUGUUAAUUACCAAUUUUGUUCUUCUUCAAAUCAUCGUAAGAUAAAGUAUCUCGCUGGAUCAUUAUCGACAAAAUAUAAAGUCUUUAAUAUAUAAAGAGUAUUAGUUUGUUAAAUCUAUAUGUCAGUUCAAAUAUUGGUGAACAACAACAGAUCGACAACUAGAUCAUGAUCGAUCACGCUAGUUGGAUAUCAGAGUUUCGAAUGUGUGAUUCCCUUAAUUAAAAUCUUGCGAGAGUGCAAAGUACCUGAAACUCUGGUCACAUUUGUUUCGCCUUCCUUUCAUUCUUUCCAUCGUUCAUACAUUAAUCUUAUCAAUUUGUGCUCCACUACCCAACAAACAAUACAGCCUUCGUGUUUGUGUGCCUGGUAAUAUAUAAUGAAGAACUACAAUGCAUGUAUACACGGAUAUCGGAACUCCAAAUGAUCCUAAAUGAUUAAUUUUUUGCCAUCAUUUGUAAGGUCUUUAUCAUAUCGUGCGUGAUUGAAAGUCGUAUAUAUUCCCCCAAUUAGGGUUUGGAGUUAGCAAUUUAAAUUUAAAGAAAGAACAUUAGUUUGCAUCAAUACCAUUUAGUCUAGUGGUAUUAGUCUUCUAUUUGUAAGUAUGAGGUGCUAGACUCAUUGUAGCAUUUCAGUUAUUUGUUUGAUAAAAGAAAAAACAUUAGUUAAUUAAUCUAUAAUUAAUUUGGAGUUGAUUAAUCAAGAAUAAUUCAUGAUUUUAAUAAAUAAAUAUUUAAAUUCCUCUCUAACUUUAUGUAUCAAAUUUGAACGUUGGGAUAUGCCAUCACCUUGCUUGUACCAAACAAUCUUCUAUCUUAGUUUUAGUCAUUGCCAAACUCUGUCAGGUGUUAAUAAGGGAAUCAGAUCCUACGCCAUUCCCAUAUUAUAACCUUGAUCUGAUCAAAAACUCAAAUGUGAUCCAUUUUAAUAUGAAAUUCACACCCUGUCCCAUGUGUAACUCAUAAGUGCUCUUGCAAUAUAUUCGUGAAAAAUAACGACUUCAUGUUAUAUAUAUAUAUAUUGACCUAUCGCUACCUAGUGUGUAAGUUGUAUAGCAAUUAGCAUUUCAUUCUUUAAUUAUAAAUCAUUAAUUGGUCACUUUCUUCGAAAUUGGCAAUGGCAUUUCUAUUUGCUUAAUUGCUUGCUAUGUGAACUAAUCCUUAUCAUGCAUAGUGUGAUUAGCUAAUUAAAUAAAGAGUGCAUUGUUAAUUACAAUAACUGAUAAGCCAGCUUCAUAAGAAACAAAGUAUGAAUGAUAAGCUUUCAAUCAGUAUCAUUAACGUCUUAAAAGAAUGCGUUAGAUUGGAUUCUUAUGUUUUUGAUAUCGUUUAUUCAAACUUGCUGAAGGGCCAGCCUUUGCCGCACAGAUCGAACUUCUUCUAAUUGUAUUCUAAUUAGUUGAUUAGUCGUCUAUAGAUGUUCAUGUCAAAUUCGUAUAUACCUGAUAUGAACGCUCACAAUUGACCAGUUUGUUUCGUAAUCCAUUUUGUUAAGCUUAUUAGCACACACUCGAGUGAGGCAUCCAAAAUCUAUUUUCUUUAAUUUCCUUGCUCAAGUACGUAGACGAUUUGAUAUACUCCAAAUUACUCCAAUUAGUUUGUAACAGACUGUGGUCAAUGAAAUUCGCGUUUUUGGACAUUUGUAGUGAAAUUUUAGUUUUUUUCAUUCUUAUUUUACCAAACAAUGUGUCAUUCUCAAAUGACUUAUCUAAUAGUACUCACUAAUUGUUAGAUACUAUUGUAUUUGAAAAUACGAUUCUCGAUCAUUCACAAUUUGACAACUCAACAUAUGAACCGUAAGUAUAUACUCUUUUGUACUACUAACCCGACCUCGUUAAAUACUAGUUAUAUACCCGAACACAUGCUUGUAAGUGUGACGACUUUUUCGAUCGGUCCAGUCAGUACGUAGCCCUCAUAAGUUGUCAUUUACGAACAAAGCAUAGUUGAAUAUUGAGCAGACUACCCGUCACCAAUUUCUCAUACCAUAUUUGAUAUAUCCAUCCAUACAAGCCAAACCAGAGAAUUCAUACCGGUGAAAGCUACAACAUUACCUAUUCUAUACAUGGAAUCAUAUAUAGUACUAUUUUCCUCAGUACUCAUUCGUUUGGGGUCAAUGCCGCUGUUCAUACGCAAAGAGCAGCCACACGUAUACUUGCACAGAAACUUUGGAUAGAGGUUUGGUAUUCUUCUCGAGCUUGAUAUGUUGACGAUUCGAAAGAAGCGAAAGAUUUCCUGGUUGCUCUCUGUCUAUUUAUAUAAGAUCAACUCAGCUGGCUAGUCAACUCCCUUGAACAUCCGGCAUUGUAGUUUUCUGUGCUUUUGGAAAUAUGUUGAACUGAGCCACAAAGCGAUUCUGAUCUCUCUGUUUUUCGCCUUCGUAAAGUAGGCAGAGACCAAGUGUUUACACAGUGAAAGGGAAGAAAGAAAAGUCUUAAACCACAUGUUUAUGAUUCUAAUUAACUUAAUCUAUAAUCUUCAAAAUUCUGGAGCUAGACAGAUUCGCUUCCUUGUAUGCAGUUCUUUUGUUUUUGUUUUCCGAUAGUGGGUGUCAUUUCCAGCACUGAAAGGUUCUAGUUGAUGACAUCUUAAUCCAGAUCAUCAGAUUAUGUUUCUUUCAUAGAUAGAACUUAGAAGCUUCAUAUUUGACUUUGGAAAUAGGCCCUAAAAGAGCCUCAAUUUCAGACUUCGCUAGUCUUCUGGUUUUACUUGUAAAGUAGAAAGCUGCUUGAUGCUUUUCUCAGAUUCCUCUCCUAGCCGCAACAGUGACUGGGAAUUUUGACCCAUCUUGGAAUACAGAGCCCCUUGCGAAGCAGCUCCGCUCAUGAGUCCUUUCAUCCAUCUCGAAGACUCAAGAGAGAUAACUAGUCUGAAAAGAUCUAUCAUUAACAAGUUCACAAUCCCAUUGAGACAUUCCACAUGGAACUCAACAAACUUGUAUACUAGCUCUGCGGUAAGAACACGAGGGGAGAUAAUCUGGCCAAACAAUGAGUGUGGACUUUGUUAUGGUUUGGUAUCCCACAGUAGAACCAUCCAGCACGACUGAGUUAAGAAACAAAGUAAUGUUUGGACUCAAAGCACGUACUGCAGAGAGCCACAUAUGUUCCAAUAACUCCGUUUCAUCACAGUAUGCUUACACAAGGUCUAGAGACUUAUAGUUGGGGGUAUAGAAUUUCUACUACCAAAAAGACUAAAGAGAUGAAAAGAUGAACACAAACAAAUACUAAUUUUCAACAACAGGUCUAUUUUUCCAAUUAGAAUUACCCUAAUCUCUCAUGUUCCUUUAUUUCUUUGUCAACAAAAGAAUUAAAGGAUAGAAAGAGAGAGGGUUACAAGUAAUACUCAAACAAGUAACUAGUAAACGAUAGUAAUGCAUAAAAGUCCUCCUACGCAAAUUUACUUUCAACAUCCCACAGCAAGAAUCUAAAAAUCGUACACAUAACAGCUACAAGUUCAAUGAAAACUGACAAUCCCACUUUUAGACAUUAGUAGCGGUCAAAAGAAGAUGGGCGGCCUCCCCUGCUAGGGCGGUCGUAAGGGCCAGCCCUGCUACGGUAACCUCCCUCAUCUCUUGCUGGACCUCCUCUUCCAUAUCUAUCACUGCCACCUCUCACUCCACCAUCCCUGUCAUAGCCUCUGUCUUUUCCAUAGCCAUUUUGGGGGUAACGAUCAGAACCACCAUAUCUGUCACUAGCGAAACGAUCACCAGCUGGGUACCUGGAGAGAAUAAGUGCAGAAAGUACAGCAUAAGUGCAACUGUAUAAUUAAUUUUUUUUUUUCUCCCAUCACAUGUACAUAAAACAAAAUGUUUUAUUUAAGCAUUAAAGAAUAUAAAAGGGGGUCUGAAUGCACGCAACUCAAGUCUAUAAGCUAUAACCAUACAUAACGACAGAAUGGAACAAGUAGUGGAGAAGUAAUUGAUACCUGUCACUGACAUAGCGAUCACGGCUCCCAUAUUUGUCCUCCCUGCUGUCAAAACGAUCCCUAUCUCCAUAGCGCCCUCCAUCAUAACGGUCAUCCAUGUAGCGAUCAUGAUCUCCACCAAAGCGAUCCACACGCCCACCUCCCCCAAACCUAGAAUGUGAAGAGAAUGAACCUCCCCCUCCACCUCUUCCACCACCAGCAGAUGGGCAGUCUCGAGCCCAAUGUCCUGUACGCCCACACUUGAAGCAUUCAUCUUGGCCCACAGAUCUAUCACCACCUCCUCCAUAGCUUCUCCUGCCACCAGAAGAGUAUCCUCCCCCUCCUCCUCCUCCUCUAUAGCCAUGAUCAGAAUCUUCACCUCCCAUCCUGGGUUGGGCUUUGUUCACAGAGAUAGUGCGGGAACCCAAUUCCUGUCCAUGCAUCUCCCGGAUUGCAUCUUCCAUUGCUCGUCGAUCUCCAAAUGUGAUAAAACCAAAACCACGAGGACGCUUUGUAUCUCUUUCCAGCAUGAUCUGCAGAAAUUCUACAUUAGAGUGAUCAUACCCAGCGUCUACAUAAACAAAAAAAUUAGAGUGAUUUCUUCUCAACACAAUGAUACUUGCAAGAUUUGCAAGUUAGACAGAAAGAGCAUCAAACAACAAAAAUUAAGGAUGCAUUGCAUUAGACAUGUAUGACUCCACCACUCGGAAAAUUAAGGAUUCAUUGCAUUAUAAUAUGCAUUAUAAUUGCAUUCUACUAAUUCGAAGUAUCAAUAUGUAUAAUGUGAUACCACUGAACUGACAAAUGUGUUUCAAAGCAUGAUAAAUAAUGAGAAUACAAUUCAUAUAAUAUAUAAAUAGGAUAGAACAUUGCAAGUAGGGCAUGAUCCGGUUUAACUGAGAAUCUGAGAUUAACAAGCAAUUGAAACUAAACCCACACCGUAAACACACAUCUAAGAGAGGACAGGCAUUAUAAAUUAGACCAAUCAAGCAAUGAGUGAUUCAGAAUAUAUUUUAUCGUGCGAGUGACUAACUAAAGAACAAUAAAAUUGGAGACGCAAUAGGGAUUGUACCUAAAAUACGUUUUGCAACAAUCUAACUGGUAAUUAAAAAUGAGUUUAUACUUACUUUCCUUUUAUAAAUAUGGAUAACAGAGCACCAUUUCAUACUGGAAUAUUUCUGAUACUAGAAGAAUCCACAUCUGACAACAGAUGACCACUGACCUCGAAUUCCCACAACAUCAAAUGUACUGGUUCCAGCAUAAACUGUUCCAGCAUAAAUGCAUAUAGUCUCUACGCCCAGAACACUAUCACUUACACCAGCAGUUACAUCGACACCCCAAACAUCUGUCUUGUAGUCACAAAACCAAUAUUCUUCUGGCAAAGCUACACAGAUCAGCCAGAAAAAGGCAGCUCUUGCAGCAGUUGAUCUUUAAACUAUUCAAAAUUAACAACUUAUAAAUACAUCUAGUUACCCACGGCAGACAUCUCUACUCUGCAUACUAUGACCAACGUGUUCCAUAACUACAUGGCUCCAUCAGUCUUUCAACAAGUCAGAAACAGUAACCAAAACAUUCAUAAACAAGCAAGAUACUCUGUCCAAGAUAAUGCUGAUUCUCUUUCCAUCAACUAACCCUGAUAUAGUCAACACCUGAAAUCAUAUUUGUGUUUCUGGCUUUUUUGAUUUUUAGGAAAAUCCUACAAUUUUUAGUACUAUCAAAAAUUCGAACCCUCAGGUAUUAAGGAGUCUUAAAUCAAAGUUUCAACUAUAAAUACGCUAGAAACCAUCGAUAGAUAGUGAAGCAGUGAUGUUGCUGAGCUCAGACUUGUCCACACAAUAUGAUAAUCAAACAGAAUACUCCUUCUGACACUUUCAAAAGUGAAACUGAUCUGAAUGAUGACUCAAAAGACCAACAGACUGCAUUGCAAAAACGUGGUCAUAUGUGAACUUGCCAGACUGACAGUGUUGGAAGCCCCAGUGCUAAUGUCAAAAAAACUCUACAAGGUCUAGAUGAUCUUCAUUCCCCGCUAAACCAGCAUAAAUAGCUUAAUCAUCACAACAAAACAAUAAUAGCAGAUAAUAAGCAGUUCAAACAAAGUUCAAGUGCAAGGCUCAAAAGCAGCCCUAACUUCAAGUGUGCUCCUCAUUAGCAGAUGAGAGGAACCCAUUGUCAGCCAGAAACAGUUUAGAGUCACUAACCCAGACUAACCCCUCAAGCAUGAACUAACUAAAUCUGACACUUUGGAACCUCACCCAAUCAGUCAUCAGAAGUCUACUAUAUCUGAACAAAAAGUUAGCAAGAGACGACAAAAGCUUUGCGAUAUAGUAGCCACUAAGAAUCUGCCCACAUAACAGAUGAUUGAGUUGAAGUAGAUGACCCUCUGAAUUCUAUGAGAGCAGAAACAUGUGACAUGAAGGAGGAGGAGAAAUUAUCCGGCUCAAAGAUCUCUCAGAAGACAGACACAACCUUCACCGUCAUGUUUUGAAUCAAACCAACCAAAAAUAUUGGCAAGCUGAUAGAUAUAUGGGCCUUUGUUCUACUUAGAAAAAUAAAAUAAAAAAACUUCUUGCAGCAAAAGAACCAAAUCACUGGUUCAAGCAACAACCAUCUGAGGCUUCAGCACUCGAUGAAAAGAACCCAAAAACAGAAAGCAUAACUUCAGAGCAAGAAACUUCUCAUAUUUGACAUGUCAUCUGACUUGUCAUUUAGUCGUUUGAUCCUCUAAGCAAUACUUAUGGUCCAACUUCCCAACAUUACCACAGGACUUUCUUGUGGAACUCGCAUCUCUUCCAAGAGAUUAAACCUAAAAUUAGCUGCCUUGAACCAAACUCCACAAAUCGCGAGACCAUCUGCUAAUGUUUCUAUUUCCUGUCUUGAGAUCUGUAGUCCCAGCAGCUAUAAUCUACUACCAAAAACGACACACAGUCUGCAAACUCGAUGCGACCACUUAACAAAAACAGCUCUACGAAAUAUCCAUCAAUGCACGGCAUCAAAAGAUCAUAACUCCACAGAACAAGAAAACAAAAGAGCAUUAAUAUACAAAGAUAACAGCAAAGUAAAAUAAAGUAUCGUACAGAGAAUCAUCAAAACAGUAUCAAACACAUCUAUACAAUCUAUGUAGUGUACUAUAUCCAUACAAUCUCACUGCUCAAGAUCCCGAUACUACAACACCUUGCGUUUUGAACAGUAAAUUCACCAAAAUCAAAUCAAAAUUAAGCAUUUUACACUCCGAAAACCUUUGCAAGUCUCAAAUUUCAUUCCAACUUUAAAACCGAAAAUGUCAAAUUUUCUUUUUUGUUUCACAAAAUAGCACCGAAAUUCUCAAUCAAAGAAUCUAGCAGCAGAUCAAACGAGAGCCUCCAACUGAUUAACACAACCAAUCUUGAACCUUCUUUUACUAAAAUCCCUAAAUCGAACCCCGAAUUUCAGAAAGAAAUUUCAAAACCAGCAAAAAUUUUUCAUAAAGUUUUCAAGCAAAAGCAAAGAAGCUUCAACCUAUAAAGCGCAAGGCACACAAUUACAAGCGUCGGAGAACGAAUUGGGGGUUACCUGCGCUUCAUGGACUUUGCCAAAGCGAGCGAAGGCGCUCUCGAGCUCAUGCUCUGUGACUUCAUAGGCUAAACCUCCGACGAAGAUUCGGUACUCUUCUCUCCCGGCCAUCUCUCUCUUUCUCUCUUUCACUCUGUGUAUUUUGGUUUGUACCCAAACCCUAACCGCUUCGGCUUCUCUUUCUAUUGCCUCAGUCUUGCUUUGAAUUUCUUUUUCCCCUUUUCUUUUUCUAUUUAUUUACUUUGUAAAUUAGGAUAGGCCCCAAUUUUUGAGGUCCUUUUCACUUUAGUCCUCCAACUUUUGUUUUUUUUCUUUAGUGCUCCAAAAUAUUGUAAUUUUGUAGUAAGAGUUGUUAGAUUAGAUUUGAAUGAGACAUACAACUAAAUAUGACUAAUUUAAUGACUCAAUUAUAUAGUUUUAAUACUUCGGAGCACUGUGUAAUGUAAAGAAAAUCUCCAAAGCAACUAUAAAUCCCUCUAGAAUUUUGUGUCUUUUUGUAGAGAAUUGUAGUCUAAUAGUAAUUUUCUCUUCUCCAUCUUUGAUGUCAGGUCAAGUGACAAGUGUCGAGUUCGAAUCUCAGGGCGAAGCAAAGACAAGAAAGAGAAAAAAGAACUGAUCGAUCUUGAUUCAUUAUAGCAUUGGAGGAUGAAACAAUUGCAAAUAGUUACAGCUGUGAAAGAAUUACAUCAAUGGACAUACAUAAUUUACAGGGCUGUACAUGAAAUGGCACAGGUAUCAACAAGUGAUUGAAGUGUGAUCAACUUUCAGGCUUUUCAUCCCUACUUCUAUUGUUCUGAUAAAAGGGGGAGCCUAGUAACACUGCUACCACCACCCCCACCAGUUAGUGAUUUAGAGUUGGUCGAUUUUAUAGAACCGGAUUUUACAGGUUUUGAUGAACUCUUCUUGUUUAUCCUCAUGGGAAGAAUCUGCAACCUCGGAUUGCGCUUAGUGCCUGAAUUUUCAGCUGCCAACUGAUAACUUUCCACCAGUUCCAGCUGUCUAGCAAUUAUUUCGGAGCAUCUUGGAAGGAGCUCUACUGCCUCUCCACCAGGAAUUACAAUAUACUCGAUUGCAAGUCGAACCUCCUGACACAAACAAAAGGAAAUAUGUGGUACCAUUAAGCAGAUGAUAUAUGCUGACAGAUUCAAAAUCAGAAAUACUGAAAGCAAAUGUGGAGUUGCAUAGCGUACAACAGAGAGGACAAUUUCUCAGAAACUGCCGGUAGAGGUAUCCAUAGAAAAUACGUGGGAUGGGAAAGGAAAUGCACCUCCAAUGCAUCGAUCUCUUCUAAAGAUGGUUUUCUUUUGGGUGCAUCAUCUUCAAUUUCAAUGUCAAAGGAAUUAUUGACAAGCUGCUUUGGCAAAGAGCCAACUGAUUCCAUUUCAAGAAUCAUACGAACUGCCUUCACGAUUUGAGCCAUGGUAUUUGACUGCAAGAUAAACAUCAAAUAUGUGAGUGAGCCCCAGCAAGAUUACAGGCAUAUACAGAUACAAUACAUAGACACAGAAAGUCUAAACGGACAUUACCUUCAUGACAAAUACAGGCAACUGGUGAAAUUUUGCUACACUACGGAUCCAUGGGUUUUGCUUCAUUUCAGCACUUGAUGCUAUAAUUGCAUCUGCUGUUCCAAUAUCAUCAGAUACCUCAAUUUCAUCCUCAAGCCCCAUUACCUUUGCUACUUGCAGUAGGUCAGCUUCAAGGAUCUGCAAACAAACAAAAAUGAAGGGUCAAUUGAGAUCAUCUGCCUAGUCAGCAACUAUUGACAAUACAAGUUCUUAGGGGUUUUGGUCAAAUUACAUCCUUCAUGGGUGUAGAUUUCCAAUUAAAGCAGAAAGUGAACCAUGUGGAAACCAAGUAUUUUACCUUGUAUGUAUAUAUACACACUGGUGAACUUCUCUUCUUCGCAGAUUUAUCACUGCUCAAUCUUCUAGACACAUUGGGUGGAGGAUCUAGAUCUUCCUCGUCAGACUCCAAAACACUAGCAACUAUGUCUGUAGUAACAACAAAAUCUGAUGCUUUCAGAUAGUUGUGUUCAGAGAUUUGAGUAGGCAUGCAAGAGUCAUCAGCAUCAGCAUCAAUACGACGAACUUCAAACAAAGGAGAUUUCCCUAUAAGCCAGAAACCUUCAUAUCAGAUUAGGUGUUCCCUUACAACUACUCAAGUAAUAAGUACAGAUUCUAAAGGAGAAAAUGUGAAGUACCAGCUAGUAUAGCAUCAACUGUUGCAUCUAAUCUGUGAUGAACACGAAAUUCUGUUUUAGAUAUGAUCUCAACAGCACAUGUAAAUGUAGGAGGCCCCUUUCUUUCAAGAAUUGUCUUUUGAACUUUCCUCUUUCUCGCUUCUUCAUCUCCCAGGGUCACACUCUGCAAUUUACAUGAAGAAUUCCUUUAAUCUAUCAACAUUUCUUAUCCGGGAACUGCUUAAAUGGUAAUACCAAUAAUGAAUGAUCAUUGCACUGGAAAGGAUAAUUCAUACAAUAUGGCACCUUGCAGAAUUAAUGCCACUUUGUAUACCCUCUUUUAUUUGGUUAAUCACUUUGUACACUUACAAAAUGAUAAACUUGAUGCAUACCAGAAACACAAUUGAAAAAUGUAUAUAACUCCAAUUUGAAUGAAUAUAGAGUGGAUGGCAUUGUACCUCUAUGCCACCAACAAGGAUUUGUAAAGAAGGAUUCUUUAUGAUGUUGUCUAUUGUCAUUCCAUGUGCAGUUCCAACUAGUUGAACUCCUCUUUGGGCAAUAGUGCUGGCAGCCAAUGCUUCAAGCUCUGUCCCAAUUUCAUCUAUUAUAAUGGUUUGAGGCAUAUGAUUUUCAACUGCUUCAAUCAUAAUCUGCACAAAAGGAAAGGGCAAAAGAGAUUAUACAACCAAAUGAGUUGCAAAAGCGUAAUACUACUGGGGAACUAAAGCAACAGUGACAGAAAUGAGCCCUAUAAUCAAUGUCAACACUCACAUUAUGCUGCAUGUUGACAUUAGGAACUUGCAUCCUCCUUGCACGGCCUAUUCCUGCAUGCGGAACAUCUCCAUCUCCUCCAAUCUCAUUAGAUGUAUCCACUAUUACCACACGCUUCAUAUGCUCAUCUGCCAACAUUCUAGCAAUUUCUCUGCACCAACAACACAUCCAAACAAAAUUCAGAACAUCUUCGCUCUUUGAUUCCAGGUCACAGUAGGAAAACAUCAAAGUAGUACAUAUACCUGAUCAAGGUCGUCUUGCCAACUCCGGGAGGUCCUAUCACCAAGAUUGAACCUCCACCCUCAACCAAGUCGCGGAUGACCUCGGCACUCCCUGACACCGCUCUCCCCACCCGGCAAGUAAGUCCAAUGAUUUGCAGCUUUCGGUUUCGAAUAGCACUAAUACGAUGUAACGAGUUAUUAAUUCCAGAACGGUUAUCAUCCGAAAACUCACUAACCUGCAAACAAAACAAAAUUUCCAAAAUCGAAUAAGAAAACAUACCAAAAAAAAUAGUUCCAUCUUCAUCAAUCAACUUCUAAGUAAGCAUAUAAAAAGUUGCAGUCUUGUUUAAAUUGUUUAAAUAAAGUGAUUAGUUACCUACUAAAGAAUUAAACCAAUAAUUAACACCGCUAACCACCAAAAUGGCUUAAUUACUAUUUCUAGAGAACAAUUGUCACAGUCUUUUAUCACCUUAGAAACAGCGAGCCGGAGAUCUUCAUGGCUGACCGGAGUCUCCGAGAUCACCCAAUCACCGGUCGGAAACCUCGCGAUCGGAGGCCGCCCCAAAUCCAUCACAACCUCAAUGAGCUUCCCGAUCUCCUCAUGCCUGUACAGCUCGCUCUUCAUCCUCUCCGGCAGCAGCUCCAGAAACAUCUCCAUCUCCGUCCGCGACGUGGACGCCGAGCUCCCGGAACUCGAAGACGGAGAGUUACCGGAGAAGAACCGAUCCGAGGGGCGGCGAAUCUCCGGCGCCGGCGAGGUGGAGGAGUGUCGGGACGAAGCGAUUGACUUGUGCGCGCCACGUGUCCGACGAAAUGAGGAGGAGAGUUUGGAGGUGUGGAGAUAGCAGAGGGUGGAGAUGGGGAUUUGGUUGGCCGAGUGCCAUGAGGUCUGGAGAUCGAGUAGCACCAAUUGCGAGCUCAGAGCUCUCAUUCUGUUACAGACUGGGAUUUUGCUUUGAUAAUUUUUUUUUUUUUUUUUUAAGCUAACGAUCGGCGAGAAGAUUCGGGGGUAUCUCCACUGGGAUUGGAGCAUAUUUUGGAGGGAAGAUGGGGCCCACUAACCAAAGAAGUUCAUACACGUGGGGGCUGCUUCAACAGCCACACAAUUUUCCUCACCCUCCUUUUCAUUUUCAGACAAAAUAGAAUUCUCGAAAAUUUGUAUUUCUCUGUUCCUUGGUGUAUACGAUUGUGAAAAAUACACACUACACUGAGUACACGUAUAGAUUAGUCUGAUUCUGCUGAAAUAUUUUCAUGAAUCUCGAUGUAAAUAAUUAAAUACUGACGUGGUGGCUGUGUUGAUCAAGGAUAUAAUUGAAGUAGCUUGAUAUCUAAUUUUAACCCAAGUAGCUGAUAUCUAAUUUUAAGAAGAAAGAAAACAAGGAUGAAAAAGAAAAAAAUUGUAUGAAAGGCUGGAUGGCAAAUCCCAACACGCUUCCAGUCCUAUAGGAAUGGUCCGAAUGUGAGUAGGAGGAAAUUUUGUACUUAGUUGACGUUGGAAACUAUCAACUUGAACCAAACUAAAUGAACAUAAUUUCAGCCGUGCAAGGUUGGGGCAGGUCACUGACAAAGACGGCACCGCUGUGGCUGCUGACUAUUUCGGAAACUCAUACUAUGGUGGAAGAUCAAAGAGAGAAAGAAAUGCUAAGCAGUUGGCAUCUACUAAGAUGGCAAGUUCUAGGAGCAAUGCAAGUCAAGGUGGGAGGUAUGGGGGGUUAUGCAACUGAUAAACGGUCAUUUAUUUAUGCACAUUAUACGGUUUACACUUCAUACUCGGUUAGAGUAUUGCUGCAAUAUAGGCUUGAGGCUCAGAAACUACGCUGUACAUUGAUAAGGAUGGAAGCUGCUGACUAAAUUUGGCGCAAUCUAUUCCCAACCCAUCAGUAUAUUUCUUACACCUUCCUCGAUUUUGUUCCUUGGCACCGAAGGACAGAAUCCUUCAUCUAGCAGGAAUCUGUAGACCUCCCACUCCCGAUCUCGGAUCAUGUGUCUCACUAUCUCAGCCUGAAACAAGUUGGUAAAGAACACAAUGAAUGGUAGAAGGACGAAUUAUGUUGGAUAUCAAACCAAGAUGUAGGAUAUCACUGGAAUAAGACACUUAUAGUGGUGGUUAGAGCUAAUACCGAGAAGAUGCGUGUGCUCAGAUCUUUGAGGGCAAGAGUAAUGUCAUAAAAGACAAGAGGCCGGCCCCUGCCGGACAACUCAACCGGGUUUGCUACCAACAGCUCGGUGUCAGGGCCGCGGUUCACCACAGCCACACGAAGCGGACACAAAAGCUCCGCUCUCAAGCGAGAACACAAGGCAUCUUGCUUCUUGCUGUCAACAAUCUUCUUGCCAUCUGGUUGCACUACAAACAAGUCCAGCUCACAAUUCCCUUUUGUGUUCUCAUAGAAUCGUCCAUAAGAAACCUGAUAUUAAACCCAUAUUUUAUAUACAAUGGUCAGUAUUAUUCACUAAUAUGGUAAAUCACAACAACAACAAAGAGGAGGACUAAAUUGAAUUUUAUCAGCCAAAAAAGGCUAGAAGCACUGGCAUGAUACAAACCUUUUGCUCGCCAGAACUCACUACUGAUUAUAAAUAUAUCAAUUAUACCAACUUUACUUUACAUACAUCUCUCUAGUAUGAUUUUACCUGAACUCCUUGACCCAUGUAAAGUUUAUUGAAGUUUUAUUAGGAGAUUGAGAGCAUACAUCAAGCAUUUAACGUCAAACUAAUUAGUUUCUGCAUACUAACAUCUAUAUUAACAACAAUGACAUGUUUGAUGUGAGAAGGUAAAAUUGUGAACAGACCCUAAAAUUUUAUUUCUCCCCAAAAUUACAUAGCUUAAAAAAGAUGUACCUGAAGGUUGCAAUCCUUUAGUGUUCUCAUGAUGUCAUACACUAGACCUUUAUGAUCUGGACAGAAUAUUUGAACUAGUGUGUGAGAUGGGCUGAGGUUAUUGUCCACUGUUAUCGAAAUGGGAAUGGAGGCAAAAGGUCUUUUUAGGUGGCCGUUGGUCCACUCCAAACUUAACAUUUCUUCAGUGAUUUCAGAAGGAAGAUAAUGAGAACCCUGUGAACAUGCAGUAACUUUUGACUCGGCCAAUUCAAUUUCACAACCCAAUAAGACAUUCCCCAAGACAGCUUUCAGGCAAUGAAUUGUUUCAUCUUGCCGUCUUUUUGUAUGCAGCAGUUCUCUGAUUGAGAAAGAGAAAGAAUAUGAUUAGCCAUAUCUUAGGAGGAAAGAUGAAACAAUCUCAGAACUGACCCUCAACUGAUGUGCCCUCACACAGACACGAUGAUACACUAACACCUAGACCGGUAUAUAAUAAUUGCAAAAACAAGUUUAAAGAACCUAACUGAAAAUAUUUUGCAAACAAAAAUUGAAGGAACCAUGUUGAGGAUCUGUUUCUCUUUUACUCUAGAAUGAAACUUGAGAAGUAGAUAUACCAAAAAAAGAAAGAAAAGGAAAGGCAGAAAUGAUGCACCAUAUAUAGAUAGGGAAAUAAUGUCAAGAGUGACAAACCUGGUAUCUGUAACAAAAAAAAGGUCCAUCACUUUCCCAUCUGGGGUAGUAGACACCUUCACUCUCUCUAUUGUGAGUUCAAGCUCACAAAGAACCUUAGUGACAUCUAUUCAGUAAAAAGAAUCAAUAAUAAUCCCAAACUAAAAAUAUAUAGAAGUAUAGAUGGCACUUUUUUCUCAGAUAUAGAUACAUCGAAACAAGUAGGGUAUACCAGGUAAAGGAAAUGAAAGAAAAGACACAGAUAGAACCAUCACUUCUACAUUGAAGUUGCCAAAUGGAUAUGCACCUCAUUAUUCAUUCAACAUGACCCCUAGUUUGAUUUCUUUUCUCUAAAUGGGGAUAAUACAAUUACUGUACUCAUCUAUGCAUAAAAAUAGAUCACAAUGUUAAAGCUUUAAAUAGGCCAGUCUGAAGAAUAGUUUAUGAGUAACCUCAAUCAAUUUCAUAAAUUACUAAAUUUGGUAAAUUUUAGUUUAUACAUUAUGAGGGAAAUAAAAACUACUGAUAAAGCUUACAUCCUCGUAUACUGUUAUACAUAGAAAUCAAUUAUUUUCAGUCAGUACUCAGAUAUAGUCUAUAGUCUAUAUGAAGAACCCAAAUUGUCAUCAUUAUAAAGAUCACCGACUCUCUCUCUCUCUCUAUCAUCAUAACAAAAGAAGUGAUCUUUUCCAGCUCAAACUGUUACUAGGAUAGUUGCAUUGAAGAUUGAGAAAGUGUGAUGAAUCAUUUAGCAAGAGCAAACAACCGAAACAUUACUGUUAGAACCCAAAUGACAAAAUUCUCUAAGUCUUGUUCAUCUAAGUAAAAGUAAGCUGUGAAGAAUCAAUUCAGAGUGAACAAGUAAUCAUGCAAUGACAAUCUUGGAAAUGAAAGUUUACCAUGCAAUAGGCCUUCCUGUUCAUAAGAGCACCAGAAUUUCAAAAGGAACACAUCUAGUGGCUUCGGCUGCUGAUUCUCCGGCCGAUAAUAGUAUAUCCCAGAAGUGGUAAAGUAUGAUGGACACACUUCUAACAAUCUCUUUGUCAGCAAAUUCCACCUAGUCUCCGGCUUUCCCACCACCCAAAACACUAUGUAGCACCAUUUUCCGUCGGUCGAAACAUCUUCAACACAAAAGCAACAAAAAAUGUUCACUUUCAUCAAAACAGUAUUGAAUUCUACUAAUUUUCCACUACAAAUUCUAUGAUCCAUCAAGAAUGCCUUACUUUCUGCUUUACAACAAAAGAUCCUAAACUGAAGACUCAUUCUUUGUGUCUCUCUAAAGCUCGGAUCGACCAAUUAGUGUUUCAGCAAACUUCAAUAAAAUUCAUUACAUGCAUUCUCAAGAAUUUCAGAUCCAAAUAGUAAAAAACUUUUCAAUGUUCAAAACAAACCACACCACUUUCCCAGCUCAAAAUAAAAAACCACCUCCAGAAAAACCUCAAAUUACUCAGAAAAACAAAGCAAUCAAACCAAAAGCUUAAGAAAACCUCACCUCCUCUGCAAAUGCUCAGCCCAAACAACAAUAUGACCCUGCACAGAUCACAGCCUAACCCAGUUUUGUCGGGGCAAUUCACAGUGACCACAGUGGGAUCUCCAGCCUUCUCUCCCUGGCUAAUCACUACCACGUCCUCAUGCAAAAUGCCCAUUCCCGCCAAGUUCCUCUGUUUUUUUUUUUUUUUUGUUCUCUGUUUUCCGGUGACCAGAAAACUGAGCAAAAAGAUACCCAAGUUGGGUCUGGUGGGUAUCUUCCGAUUCUUGCUCUUGUUUUUUAAUGAGCAAAAUUAGUGGGAGAUUCCAAAUAAUAGAGGAAGAGUUUGAGAUCAGAUAGAAUCAUCCAGAUAGAAGAUAACAGAUGAUGGUUCUGUUUACUUAUGGAAUAUCAAUUUCUCAUAUUUAUCGGUGGGAGAGACUGAGUGAGAGACAGAGAUUAAAGUCUUCGAGACGUGGUGAGUAGGUGGACUCGAGUAUAGUUGAGACUGAUUUUCAAAGACAACUUUUUCGGUGUUGGUUUCCGACCGUCCUUAAUUUUCUGCUAUUUCAUGAAAACUAACAAAUAGAGUUUGGUGAAGUUCAAGUGGACCGGAAUCGUCCUACUAUAGGGGAACACCAUUAAUCAAUUUUGUUUUACAUGAUUUUGUUAUAAAUGAAAAAGAAUUAUGAUUAAUGAUACAGUCAUGAUUUAUUAGUAUAAAAUCUUAAAAAGGAAAUGGCCAUUAAGAAAUUUUUGGUUUCUAUAAAAAAAUAUGUCGACGGCAAGUCCCCUCAUCAUAUGUGGAAAUUGCGAAAUCGGUAGGUUAUUUAUGAUAUACAUACAUGGAGGAAGAUGCUACCGGUUCGUUGGGAGGUGGCAGAGAUAGAGAUCUAGUUUCAAUUAGUGUUGAAUGCCCUUUAUUGUUUCGAGUCAAGGUAUGAUAUUAGACUUACUAGUAGGUCAACAUAUUUAUGAGUUGACUGAAUUAUAAGCUGAUUUCAUGUCUAGUUACUCAUGUUGCUCUUAUGUCAAUACGGCUCAUGAUUCAAAAGUUCAUUAUAAGUAACGUUGCGAGCCUCCGUUGAGAAGCAAAAGAACCUAAGAAAAUUUUGAAUUCAUCGGUAUUUUAGAUAAAAUCUCAACAGUUCAUUUCUGACUAAUUUGGUGCUAAUCUCUUAUAGGGCUGAAUUCAGACGUUGCAUAAUGUGAUAUGUUGAAGUUUACGUAAGAAACUCGUAUGAAUGACUAUAAUGAAAAAUGCACAAAGGAGUACCAUAGUUCCCCAAAUGUAGACCAACAUUACGAAAAGGAAGGAAAACCUUCACCGAACACAUUUGAGAAAAGCACCUCACGCACAACUUGAUCUAGAGUGAGAAAUUGAAAAAUGUUGAAAAAUUAUUCUUGAUUCUAAUAUGCCAUUCUAGAAGCUCCAAAAGCUAGUGAGGUCAUGUAUGAUAUAACUUCGCAUGUAAAAAAAUCAGCUUUUUAUUCAAAAAAUUUAGAUUUUAUAGUGUUUAGCAAAUUAAUGAAAAUCAGCUUUAAAAUAAAUAAAUUACAUGUUAUUGCAAACGCUUUAAGAAACAAUCAGAAUGUUACUUUUAGAAGCUAUUGUCAAUAAAAACACUAAAAAAUAUUACAUUUUGUAUCUGCAUCAUUUUUAGAACUACUAUUACUAAACACAAACCAUUUUAAUUCAUAACUAAUUAUUUUCGUAGUACAACAACUACAUUUUUUCUACUUCUUAAAGUCGCAAUAACAAACUAACCUUGAUUUGAGUUCAAAUUUCCUUAUUUUCACUCAUCCGGGACUUAAAACGUGAAAUAUAAAUUACGUUAUAUGACAUGACACCGAUCCGUAAACGAGUCGCAAGAAACUAUCUGCUACACAUGUCUUUUUUUACAACAAACGGUCAUAAUUCGUAUGACAACUAAAGUUGUAUUGUGCUAAACUAACCCAUAUCUUAGCAAUUCAUGUCUUGUUAUCACACAAUAUAAGAAUGCAAAAAGUCAUAAAGAAACUAGAAAGUUUUGAACAAUUCUUCUACUCCCAUACUAAGCACUUUAGAGUUGUUUCAAAAUGUUUCGAUAGAGCGCGUCCUAGUGACCGACCCUAGCAGACUUGGAGGAGUAUGUUGUGGGAGGACAUAUAUUACAAUAUUGAAGUUCUUCCUAGAGAUGGAGCUCCAAAGACCCAUCUUCGUACCAGCAUCAAGGUUGUGUGAAUCAUCGACAUGAUUAGAAAAAUCCUCCUUAGUUGGAGUGCGGAGAUCGCUCUUCUUGCAGCGGUACACCGACGAAUCAACACAAUCAUGAGAUAUCUUUUGACGAAAGCCUGCAGCUUCUCACUUGGGAGGUUAGUAAACGAAAGCUUACUCUUAUGAGCCAUCCUCUUCUUCUCUCUUAUUCAUCCACUGAGAUUCUCUCUUCUUAAAUAACAAAAUUAUCAUUGAAAUAUCGGCGAUUUAAUCUUUACACAACAUGAGAAUAUCUAAAUAUUGCAAUAUUUGCGCGAAACUCACGAAAUCUUGUUAAUAAAUCAGCCCAUUUCUCUUUAUUGAGAAAUCGAAGAAGCUAUCCAAAAGGUUUUGCCAAGCCUACUCGUAUAUAUGGUCAUUAACUCGGCCCAAACUUAUGAAAUUAACACUAAAGUCUUGGCGUAGCGUAGGUAACAUGAUUCGAACCCAGGUUGUCACAUGUUAUAUCUCACAUUCUCAACCAAUCCUCUUAAGUCUUAAGAUACACUUAAUAGUCUAUUAUAUAAACUCUACAUAUAUUUUCACACUUUUAAACUUUCCUUUCGAAAUUUUAUUAAUAUCACUAUCAAAAUAUCUAUUUUUCUGACAGUCGAAAUUUUCUCGAAACGCGAUAUUUUAGUCCUUAAUUUGAUGCCUAAGCUACUUCGCUCCUCCAAACUGGGCCGGUGUUGGAUCAAACAAACAGAAACUUGAAAGGAGGAGAACGAUACAAGUCAUACAACUACGUUGAUUUUAAACAGAAACUUGAAAAGAGAACGAUACAACUACGUUGGUUUCUAACCCAAUGGAUGCCUAUGUUUGGGCCAAUAUUCCAUUUUCCUUUUUAAUAAUUUUUUUUCUUUCUAGCAGCUAGACAGCUAGUUAACCAAUUGUGAAGCUACACAACUAGGACUUGCAGCGGAAAACGACUACCACGCGUUGCAUGGAGAGGUUAGGUCCUGCAUGCAACUCCGCCGCCCGUAAAUCUCCUACUGACAGCUCUACCCCUCGAUUUGCAGAUACCGAUGUAUAACCCGAGGACAAAACGGUAAUCGUUGAUACUCCGAGCCGGACAUAAAACCAUCCAAGAACAAAGAAGAGAACCACCACCGGAAAAAUGGCCGGACCACCUCUACCUCCACCUCUUCUAACGUGUUUGGUGGGUGUUGCAGUCUUAAUCUGCGCACUAACCCUCUGUGUUGCCCUAGAUGUCAGCCCCCAAGACCCAAUCAUCCACCAAGUCACAGACCAUGAUACUAAUAAGCUCCUUGGAACCGAAAAAGAGUUCAAGAUUUUCAUGGAGAAGUAUGGGAAGAAGUACCCUACUAUGAAGGAGUACAUGCACCGCCUCGGUGUUUUUGCCAAGAACAUGAUCAGAGCCGCCGAGCACCAAGCUCUGGAUCCGACGGCGGUUCACGGCGUCACGCCGUUCUCGGAUCUGGAGGAGGAGGAGUUCAAGAGGAUGUACACCGGCGUAAGAGGUGCGCCCGGCUUAACCAACGGCGGAGGCGGUGCGGGAAGCACGGUUGAGCUUCUGGAUGUUAGCGGGUUGCCUGAGAGUUUUGAUUGGAGAGAAAAAGGAGCUGUUACUGAGGUCAAGAUGCAGGUAGUUAAUGUUACAGUUUCUAAUUUUCGUUUUUUUAUUAUUGUUUUUUUAGGUUGGUACUACACAAUAUAUGUGAUUAACAGUUUCGGACCGUACUUAAAUCCUAGCUUAUUGCAAAUCAAGUUAUGGCAAAUACGAUAUAGAAUUCUCGUAGCUGGUUGUAAAUUACUAAAUUGUGUAAUCUGAAGUCGAUCAGCUGAUCAGGUGCUGCUGGUUCUUUUGUUUAAUUGAUUGUAUAACUAGCUUGUGUUUGAGAGUUUGAAGUUUUGUACAGAAAGAUUUGUCUAAUGGAGCUAGGGUGUUUGUGGAACACGGAAUUUUUCUUCAGGCAAGGCGUUGUAUUGUGAUACUUAAAGCCUCUAAAUCUCUUGUUAUGGAUGCAGGGUGGCUGUGGGUCAUGCUGGGCCUUUAGCACAACAGGAGCUAUUGAAGGAGCCAAUUUCAUUGCCACUGGGAAGCUUGUUAGUCUCAGUGAACAGCAGCUUGUUGACUGUGAUCACCAGGUAAUUAAGCCUAGCCUCUCUGGAAUAUAUUGAAGUACUCAUUUAACUUUAGGGCGAUAAAAAUUUAAUUGAUUGAGCAUAUAUAUAAUAUUUGGCAUGCCUACUUAAUUAGUUUCGUUUAAUGUUUGUGGCAACUAUAAUCAAGUGUGAUGCAAAAGAGAAAGAUGCAUGUGAUCGUGGUUGUGGUGGCGGACUUAUGACAAAUGCCUACAAGUAUCUAAUGGAAAGCAGGAGGGGUUGCAAAGACGAGGUUUCAUACCCUAUACGGGGGAAAAAAGGGGCGAAAUGCAAAUUUAAUCCCUGAAAAAAGUAGCCGUGAGAGUAACCAAUUUCACCACUAUUCCCCUUGAUGAGAAUCAGAUUGCAGCGAACUUGGUCCACAAUGGUCCUCUUGCCAGUGAGUACUAAACCUGAUAAUAUGCUUAAAAAUAGCUAGGCUUUUUAUGUAUCUAUGUGUGCGUACAUAGAACUGCCUUAAGUGUCUUAUUUUCUGAAUAUGAUGUGCACUGUUUAGCAUAUUUAGAUCUGAGUGUAGAUACACCCCACUGAUACAGAAUCUUAAUUGAUGUAUGUAUGCGCAGUUGGCUUGAAUGCUAUGUUCAUGCAAACCUACAUUGGCGGUGUGUCAUGCCCUCUUGUUUGUUUCAAGAAAUGGGUGAACCACGGUGUUUUACUUGUUGGAUAUGGUGAGAGUGGCUUCUCGAUUCUCAGGCUCAGCAACAAGCCGUAUUGGAUCAUCAAGAAUUCAUGGAGCGCAAAAUGGGGAGAACAUGGUUAUUACCGACUUUGCCGAGGCCAUGGCAUGUGUGGGAUGAAUACUAUGGUGUCUGCAGUUGUGACCAGUACUCGGGCAUCCUAGCUGCAUCUCCCGAGAUUAGCUAGUAUACAAUUAUACACUAUAAUAUAUAUAUGCACCUCUCCCUUGUUUUUUCUUAAUCCGAAUUUGAUGUUCCUAUAAUCAUAUUUCAAGAAUAUUAUUGUUAAUAUGCCGAAGUGGAAAGUCUUGUUUACGUCAAAACCAAUUCGAACCAUAUUAUGUUAGCUUUAAAUGCUAGAUUGUCAGACUUCAAAUUUAAGUCGGGAAAAUUUUACAAUGUGUUAAUGUAUGUCAUGUAUUAAUUUUAUCCUAAAAUUGUAAAAUGAGUCUCUAAAAUAGUAAUAUUAGUACUCGAAGUUGUAAUAUAUAUGAGUAGUUGUAAAUUUUAUAGUUACAACAUUAGUCAUCAUGUGUCCUUAAUGUGUCUUUAAAGUAAAUUUUAUAGUUACAACAUUAGUUAUCAUGUGUACUUAAAGUGAUAAAUUGCGUGCUUAAAGUCGUAAUUGAAUCCUUAAAGUGAUUAAAAAAAGUUUUUAUAUCUUUGAGGAUUUGUAUUACAACUUUGAGGACUCAAUUACCAUUUUAAGGACACAUGAGGAUUAAUGUUGUAACUAAUUUUUUUUACAACUUUAAAGACUUAUAUUACAACUUUGAGGACUAGUUAAUAUUACUCCCGUAAAGACUCGAUCAUUUUAUAACUUGAGGACAAAGUUGAUGCAUCACAUGCAUUAACACACCAAAGUUGAUUCUCCACAAGCUUGUUGAAGAACUUGGUAGAAGUUUUGAUUUGUUGAAAGGCUUGAAGACGAGGGUUGAUCAAGGGCCGUAGAGGGUUGACGUUGAUCGAGUUUGGGCCACGAGCAGUUCCAUAUGGUGGUUGCUCUUCGUCUUGUAGUUGGUGAAGAUGUCUGCUAUUUAGCAAUUUGGGACUCUUUGGGAUUUGGCAACUUCUAAGCUUGAGAUUGAUGAAGAAUCGGCUAUUUGGCAACUUGAUGAUUCUUCAACGGUUUUGGGAGAAUUCUGAGUUCUCGGGAGUAAUUUUUUUCUCUUGUCCGGAAGUCCUUAUCUUGAUAUGAGAGGGGGUAUUUAUGGUGUCGAUGCUCCUCCGUAAAUAGAAUGCAUUAAAGUCACAACUUUAAUUGUAUUUCCUUAAUGAUAUAAUUAAAUCAAUCACUUUUGAUUGAUUGAUUCAAUUAUUCAAUUUACUAUAAUUAAAUCAAUCAAUCUUAAUUGAUCGAUUUAAUUAUGACCGAUAAGGUAUUUCACCAAUUUGAUUAAAUUCCGACUUCCUUUUCGAUAAUCGAUUUGAUUUGAUUGAUGUUUGAUUAUCGAUUGACAUUUAAUAUUUGAUUUUAGUCGGGAUUGAUGAUUUUGUUGUCGACCGACCAUUAUCAAGCCGCCAUGUGUUAUUUCCGAAGACUUUUCAACUUUGCUGACUCACGAGCCACGUAUGUAAUUUGUCAGGCCCAUGGGUUGUAUGAAUAAUUUAAUAAUUAUUAUUCUCAUUAAAUUUUAUGCGUCUACAAAUACCCCCACUUUAAGGUGUGUUGUAGUCAUGUUGUUGUCACGUGUCAGAGGUGCGACUUGAAGUUAUUUUUGAUGACACUUGUGGCGUGUUUUGCCAUCCACUCGUUUUUACGUCUGAAAUAUUGGUCCGUACCAUGAUGACAUUUUUGUUGCCUUUGAAAUUUGUAUUUUGAACGCUUGAGAAUCAUGCAUUGCGACCUUUCCAUAUGUUUAGAAUACAUGAGCAAUUUGCAUGCUUAGUGGAUAUGAUCUUCAUUUGAACAACUUCCAUACGUGGCUUUAAAUUUACCCGUCUCGCAACUAUUUUCAAUUGGUAGGAUUUGAAUGAGAGAUGAAAGCUUUUCUUUUCUUUUCUUAUCGAUUGAUGCGUGGCUGACAUUUCCUUCAUUGGUAUAAAUAAUUACCACCUUCUAAAUGAGUUUGGUCUUCUACAAGUAAGAAAUCGUGUAAUGGCUUGAUGACUUCUUGACCAAAUAGAAAAGUGAACGCAUGAUGACAUUAUAAAAUUGUACUGUAGGGUUUUGCCCUAAUCACUGUAUUCUCUUCCGUAGCUAGCCGCCCGCCCGUACUUCUUGUAAUUCUUUCUUCCUUCUUCUUUUUCUUUUUCUUUUUAUUUUUUUAUUUUACUGUAGGCCUCAGUCGUGAGUGAAGUUUGGUACGAAAAUAGGUCCAACCUUGUACCGCGAACUUGACAACGAAAUUGUGGAGGCAGGAUCAAUGCGAUGGUGCCAUGCAAUUGCGUUGUCGUAAUCCUCUCUAUUGUUUGAUUAUUGAUUUUACUAUCGCAUGCCUCCAUGCUUACUGACCCAUCCUUAUGCAUAGUGUAGUCGAUAUAUUUUUUUUCAGUUGCGGCUGAAGGGUCAUCUUUUCGGCAAGCACAGUUGAAGAAAACCCACGAGGUACGCACAGUUGAAGAAAACCUUCGAGAGACCAGAGCCUUGAGGUACUACUUUUGUUUUAGUUGAUUUUCUUAAUCCUUUGGCUUGUCCAUAUGCUUUCCGGAAGGAAACAAAGAUUGUCAAGAGUGACAACCCUCGUUUUUCAUGGUGGGUGAGCUUACUCUUUAAUCAACUUUGAUUGUCAUCUCAUUAUGCAAAGCGGCAAUUUUUUUUCUUCGCCAAGUUCGGCAGCAGCAUGGUACUAACUCUUUUUUCUAUUUUUCUUUUCAGAAUUUUGAUGGCAAAUUGAAGAACGCGAACACCUAACCGCUUGGUUUCUUUUACGUCUUGGACGUGAGAUAAACCGUUGAAAGUGUUUAGGCUUUACGUACCCUGACAGUAAUUGAAGAACAAGAACACCUAACCGCUUGAUUUAUUCCACGUUUAAGAUGUGGGAUAAAUUGCUUAAAGUGUUUAGGUUUUGCGUAGACGUAUACUAUUCCGCAUGGUGUUCUCCAAGAGUUUCAAGAAGGACACAAACAUCAUCUUUGAAGAUAUCGAGGAUAUUGAAAGUGAUGGCACCACCUCUCAUCUAAGCUCGCUCAUCUCUAACAACUUCUCGCUCAUCCUUGAUUUAACUAAUAACUUUGAGAUCAUGGGUUCAAACCUCACAGACAUAUGUAAGGUGCGUGAGUUAUUUAAUAAAAGUUUUUUUUUUUUAAAGAGCUCGCUCAUCAUGAUUUCACCUCUGUGAGCUUCGAGAAAUUUUUAAAUGCUACGGGAGGACCAUGUGGCAGUCUAACGUGGUCCUACGAUCCAAUCAAAUUUAGACAUGUGGAUUUUUUACAACUAAAAUAUAAACAAAUAUUUUCUAUUUUUUGUGAAAUGACAUUCAUGGGUAUUUAGCAAGUUCAAAUUAGGGUCUAGGGUAUAGGGUUUAAAGUUUAGGGUUAGAGUUUAGGGUAUAGGGUUUAGGGUUUAGGGUUUAGGGUUUGGGGUUUAGGGUUUAGGGCUUAGGGUUUAGUAUUAAAAAAACAACAAAAAAUCUAAAAUGGUCUUUGACAAAAUAGCUGAAAUAAUUUUUCGUAAAGAAAAUCUACAUGUCUAAAUUUGAUUGGAAAGAAGGCCCACGUCAGACUGCCACGUGGUCCUCCCGUAGCACUGAAAAAUUUCUCAUGAGCUUCAUUGACGUUUCUUCAACGUGGUGGUUGAUUCAAUUAUUUAAUUUACCAUAAUUAAAUUAAUAAUUAAAUUCAGUUUAUCUCUUUAAACUUUAAGUCGAAAAUUAGUUUGAUCCCUGAUUUUUUUUUUUUAUUUCACGUCAGUCUAUAUACUUUCACAAUUACAUCACUGUAGUCUAAAAUUUGAAUUUGGCGCUGAACAUGACUCUGUUGAUGUAGACCCGACAACAUGGCCCCAUUUUUAAGAUAUUAAAUUUUAAUUUGAACAUAAUGUCCAAACUACCCUUAUCUUCUUUUUUAGGAGAACAAAAAAUUAAUGUUGGGUGGGCUGGGUUUGAAGCCUAGACCUUAUCUUUUUUUUUUUUAAUCACGUCUGACUCUGCUGAUGUAGACCCGACAGCAUGGCCUCACUUUUAAGAUAUUAAAUUUUAAUUUGAACAUAAUGUCCAAACUACCCUUAUCUUCUUUUUUUAGGAGAACAAAAAAUUAAUGUUGGGUGGGCAGAGUUCGAAGCCUAGAGCUUGCUGUCAAAUACUAUGCUCCAAACCACUGGAGUAACUAUUGCUCAUAUACCUUUUAGUACAUCUAUAUUUAUUAGUACGAAAAAAUGAAAGGAAAAUAAUAAAUAAUAAAACUAUUUGUGAUUGUGUUCCUACCAUUCACGCCCAGACCUUUACUCCAUGCCUUCACUGAAGGUCAUAAUCCCAGAAUUUUUUUUUCUUUCAGUUUGUUUAUCCUCCUCUUCUUUUUCUUCUUUUUCCUUCAAAUCAAACUAUCAAAGAAAUCACGCUGCAAAUUCCGACCGGGAGGAUGAAGGGUGAGACGGCUUCUUCGUCGUCGGGGAAGCUAAGGAGCUUAAGGAUUGUUUCUGACGAUUCUUGAGCUUGGCAGAAGAGGGGUUUGAUAGGAAAUUCGGCAUCGAUGCGAUGGCGGAACUUCUCUGCUUUUGAGGAGCUUUGUGGCUGGAUUGGUGGGGUGGGGGGGGGGGGGGGGGGGGGAUUUGGGGGUUUGGGGUUUUCAAUGAAUUGGCUUGGUGGUCGACGGCGAUUCGGAGGUUGAAAUUGAUGGGGUGGCAUCCUCGAGGCUGCGUUCGAGGCCGGGAUCAGAGGGGUGAGGCGGAGGGACUAGGUCGUGGUCGCCUAAAGUUUAUUUUAUUUUAUUUUUUUUCCCUAGUCUCUUUAUUUCAAAAUGUCUGUUUUGUCCUUCUUAUGGGUCAUCCUGUCUGGUCCACAUCAGCAGAUGAUGUCAUGUUCGGAGUCAAAUUCAAAAUUUUAGACCACAUUGAUAUAAUUGUGAAAGUACAAGAACUGACGUGAUAAAAAAAAAUCAAGACCAAACUGAUUUUCGAACAAAAAAUUUGAGGGAGUAAACUGAAUUUAAUCCUUAAAUCAAUCAGUCUUAAUUAAUCGAUUUAAUUAUGACCGAUAAAGUAUUUCACUAAUUUGAUUAAAUUCCGACUUCAUUUUUAAUAAUCGAUUUGAUUUGAUUGAUGUCUGAUUAUCGAUUAAUGUUUAAUAUUUGAUUUUAAUUAGGAUUGAUGAUUUUGUUGUCGACCGACCAUUCACACGCCGCCACGUGACAUUUUCGAAGACUUUUCAACUUUACUGACUCACGAGCCACGUAUGCAAUUUGUCAGACCCCUGAGUUGUAUGAAUAAUUUCCGAAGACUUUUCGAUAAUCGAUUUGAUUUGAUUGAUAUCUGAUUAUUGAUUGACAUUUAAUAUUUGAUUUUAGUCGGGAUUGAUGAUUUUAUUGUCGACCGACCAUUCACACGCCGUCACGUGUCAUUUCCGAAAACUUUUCAACUUUGCUGACUCACGAGCCACAUAUGCAAUUUUUCGGGCCCCUGGGUUGUAUGAAUAAUUUAAUUGCUUCAGUUCUAUAUAUACCGCGUCCCACAUGUUUCAUCAAGUGUCAGAUAAUACAGAACCUACUUCGCCAAAAUGAAGAAAAUUGAGGUCAGUAUAAAUUCCAAACACACCAUCAAACCAUCAUCUUCCUCUACACCACUACAGCCUUACAAGCUUACCCUCCUGGACCAGCUCACUCCUCCAACGUAUGUCCCUAUGGUAUUCUUCUACCCCAUUACUGACCAUGUCUUCAAUCUUCCUCAAACCCUAGCAGACUUAAGACAAGCCCUUUCCGAGACUCUCACUUUGUACUAUCCACUCUCUGGAAGGGUCAAAAACAACCUAUACAUCGAUGAUUUUGAAGAGGGUAUCCCAUACCUUGAGGCUCGAGUGAAUUGUGACAUGACUGAUUUUCUAAGGCUUCGGAAAAUCGAGUGCCUAAAUGAGUUUGUUCCAAUAAAAACAUUUAGUAUGGAAGCAAUAUCUGAUGAGCGUUACCCCUUGCUUGGAGUUCAAGUCAACAUUUUGGACUCUGGAAUAGCAAUCGGUGUCUUCAUCUCUCACAAGCUCAUCGAUGGAAGAACGGCAUACUGUUUUCUCAAGUCCUGGGGUGCUGUUUUUCGAGGGUGUCGUGAAGAUGUCAUACAUCCUAGUCUCUCUGAAGCAGCAUUGCUUUUCCCACCGAGAGAUGACUUGCCUGAAAAGUAUGCCGGUCAGAUGGAAGGGUUAUGGUUUGCCGGAAAGAAUGUUGCUACAAGGAGAUUUGUAUUUGGUGCGAAAGUCAUAUCUUCAAUUCAAGAUGAAGCGAAGAGCGAGUCCGUGCCCAAGCCAUCACGAGUUCAGGCCGUCACUGGUUUUCUCUGGAAACAUCUAAUCGCUGCUUCUCGGGCACUAACAUCAGGUAAAAUCAGUUUAUCAACAAGCCAAAUAAUAAAGCCUAAUGUAUUUGGGGUACUUAUUUAUAUAUUUUUAUUACGUAUAUCUAGUGUACUGUGUACAUAGCUCAAAGAAUGAGAAAAUAUAUGAACUUGCAGGUACUACUUCAACAAAACUUUCUAUAGCAGCCCAGGCAGUGAACAUAAGAUCACGGAUGAACAUGGAGACGGUGUUGGAUAAUGCCACUGGAAACUUGAUGUGGUGGGCACCGGCCAUACUACAGCCAAGUCAUACAACACCAGAGAUUAGUGAUCUUAAGCUGUGUGACUUGGUUAACUUGCUCAAUGGAUCUGUCAAACAAUGUAACGGUGAUUACUUUGAGACUUUCAAGGGUAAAGAGGGAUAUGGAAGAAUGUGUGAGUAUCUAGAUUUUCAGAGGACUAUGAGUUCUAUGGAACCAGCACCAGAGAUUUAUUUAUUCUCGAGCUGGACUAAUUUUUUCAAUGCACUUGAUUUUGGAUGGGGGAGGACAUCAUGGAUUGGAGUUACGGGAAAAAUUGAAUCUGCAUUUUGCAAUUCCACAAUGUUGGUUCCAACACAAUGCGAUAAUGGAAUUGAAGCAUGGGUGAAUCUAGAAGAAGAGAAAAUGGCUAUGCUAGAACAAGAUCCCCAGUUUCUAGCGGUAGCAUCUCCAAACCCCCCAAUUUCAAGGUGUUGAUUAAAAAAGAUUAUGUGGCUCGUGCAAUGUUUCGAUUUUGUAGUGAAUAAGGUUUAAAUUAGUUCACCAGCCAAUCAAUAAGAUGCAAGUAUGAUAGACUCUGUCUACGUAUGUUAUCCGAAUGUGUUUUCGAUAUGCUUGUAACCAAUAUAGCUCUUGUUUGUAAUAAUGCUCUGUUAAGCUUCUAUCUAUAAAGUUAUUUCUCUUGAUUAAAGAAAAAACUAUACAAGUUUUGUUAAGCUUUAUUCUAUUUUUAAGAUAGGAUGUAUGUAGUACCUAUAAAGAUGGUUCACCUAUUAUUAUUUUCAAAUACAUGAUUAUCCGGUACAAUUACGUAGAAUAUUUCUAUAGCUAAAAAAAUGUAAUUUUGAUCCGUGACAACAUGAUUAAAAAAUUACAUAUUCUGAUACAUUUGUUCUCUAACGACAAGCAUGGCCAUAAUGCCUCACCUGAUCAUCUAUGUGAUGGGGUAGUGUCCUUUCUUUUUAAGAGAAGGUAGGCACCUAAUGUGAAGGCCUCUACGAGAGACUAAUAUUGUCUGAUCUUCUUUUGUUCAUCAAAUUAAAGAAACGAAAAUGGCCACAAUGCCUCACUAUUGAUAGAAGAUAGAACCAUACAAUAAUUUGGAACAUAUGCAUGGAGACAAGGAAAUAUAACACAAUAAAACCAUUAUAAUUUCACUUUAUGUGGGAAACUUGGCCAAAACCGAAUCACAUCCACGUUGGCAACAAAAAGUGACUGGAAAAAAAGAGCCCCCAAAAAGCUAAAACACUAUAAAAACCAGAAAACUUGAAUAAGCGAAAAACCAAAAGUAUGACAUUUACACACACACUCUAUCUCUCUCUCAAAGUCUGAAAACUUGCGCAAUAAGGUACCUAGCUCUCUGGUCUUUUCUUUCUAAUGCAUAUAAGUCCCUGUAAAUUUUAUGGCUUUUGGAAUGAUGAUUUUAUGCUUGUGGAUCUCAGAUGGGUUUGUUUUGUUUUGGGAUUUUUAUAAAUGAAUCCAUUGAAAAUGUUGAAAGCUUAUGCCUUUGUUCCUUGGUUCACUGUUCUGGUUUUGUAAAUUGUGUGUACGAGAGUUGAAAUGUUGGUUUUGGUAAAGAGAAAUGUUCUAUAACCAUGUAAGUUAUCUUCUAAAGUUGUUCGAGUACUGCAUAGGAAAUAACGACCUAAACUGCUAGAUGCUCUGAGAAACUUAAUUAUCCGAUUCGUUGUGAUAAAUUAAUAGAACCAUCAAUAGCCGUGAUAGUCCCUUAAUAUUUGGUGGCUAAUUAGCAAUGCAUUCAUGGUAGUUGCAUGUGCUUAUUUUGUGCAGUAUUCUAAUUCUAUCACUUGCAAAAUCGUUGUGGAAGGUCAAGAGGAGAAAACUGAAAAUGGGGCAGCAUGCAUCUCAUUUUAUUUUUUUAUGCAAUAGAGCCCUAUAUAUAAAAUAAAUAAUGUAUCUAUAACCUUCUCUAAUUAAUUUACUUAGUAAUUGACGCAAUUUGGCCGAACUGUUUCUAAACACACUAAGCUUCAGUUCUAUAUAUACCACGUACCACAUGUAUGAAUUCAUCAAGUGUCUGAUAAUACUAAACCUACUUCGACAAAAUGGAGAAAAUUGAGGUCAGUAUAAUUUCCAAACACACCAUCAAACCAUCAGCUUCCACUCCACGACUUCAGCCUUACAAGCUUACCCUCCUGGACCAGCUCACUCCUGCAAUGUAUGUCCCCAUGGUAUUCUUCUACCCCAUUACUGAUCCUGUCUUCAAUCUUCCUCAAACCCUAGCUGACUUAAGACAAGCCCUUUCCGAGACUCUCACUUUGUACUAUCCACUCUCUGGAAGGGUAAAAAACAACCUAUACAUCGAUGAUUUUGAAGAGGGUGUCCCAUACCUUGAGGCUCGAGUGAAUUGUGACAUAACUGAUUUCCUAAUGCUUCGGAAAAUCGAGUGCCUAAAUGAGUUUGUUCCAAUAAAAACAUUUAGUAUGGAAGCAAUAUCUGAUGAGCGUUACCCUUUGCUUGGAGUUCAAGUCAACAUUUUCGACUCUGGAAUAGCAAUCGGUGUCUCCGGCUCUCACAAGCUCAUUGAUGGAAGAACGGCAGACUGUUUUCUCAAGUCCUGGGGUGCUGUUUUUCGAGGGUGUCGUGAAGAUAUCAUACAUCCUUGUCUCUCUGAAGCAGCAUUGCUUUUCCCACCGAGAGAUGACCUGCCUGAAAAGUAUAUAGCUUUGAUGGAAGGGUUACGGUUUGCCGGAAAAAAAGUUUCUACGAGGAGAUUCGUAUUUGAUGCGAAAACCAUAUCUGCAAUUCAAGAUGAAGCGAAGAGCGAGUCCGUGCCCAAGCCAUCACGAGUUCAGGCCGUCACUGGUUUUCUCUGGAAACAUCUAAUCGUUGCUUCUCGGGCACUAACAUCAGGUAAAAUUAGUUUAUCAACAAGCCAAAUAAUAAAGCCUAAUGUAUUUGGGGUACUUAUUUAUAUAUUUUUAUUACGUAUAGCUAGUGUACUGUGUACAUAGCUCAAAGAAUGAGAAAAUAUAUGAACUUGCAGGUACUACUUCAACAAAACUUUCUAUAGCAGCCCAGGCAGUGAACAUAAGAUCACGGAUGAACAUGGAGACGGUGUUGGAUAAUGCCACUGGAAACUUGAUGUGGUGGGCACCGGCCAUACUAGAGCUAAGUCAUACAACACCAGAGAUUAGUGAUCUUAAGCUGUGUGACUUGGUUAACUUGCUCAAUGGAUCUGUCAAACAAUGUAACGAUGAUUACUUUGAGACUUUCAAGGGUAAAGAGGGAUAUGAAAGCAUGUGUGAGUAUCUAGAUUUUCAGAGGAUUAUGAGUUCUAUAGAACCAACACCAGAGAUUUAUACAUUCUCGAGCUGGACCAGUUUUUUCAACCAACUUGAUUUUGGAUGGGGGAGGUCAUCUUGGAUUGGAGUUACAGGAAAAAUUGAAUCUGCAUAUUGCAAUUCCACAGUGUUGGUUCCAACACAAUGCGAUACUGGAAUUGAAGCGUGGGUAAGUCUAGAAGAAGAGAAAAUGGCUACGCUAAAACAAGAUCCCCAGUUUCUAGCGGCAGCAUCUCCAAACCCCCCAGUUUCAAGGUGUUGAUUAAAAAAGAUUAUGUGGCUCGUGCAAUGUUUCUAUUUUGCAGUGAAUAAGGUUUAAAUUAGUUCACCCGUCGAUCAAUAAGAUGCAAGUAUGAUAGAUAUGUUAUUCGAAUGUGUUUCGAUAUGGUUGUAACCAAUUAAUAUAGCUCUUGUUUGUAACAAUGCUCUAUUAAGCUUCUAUCUAUAAAGUUAUUUCUCUAUUAAAAAAAAAACUAUGGAAGUGUUACCAAGCUUUGUUCUGUUUCAAAGGUAAGAUGCAUAUACUACCCGAAAAUAAUGUUCACCUAUCAUAAUUCUUCCACAUGAAAACCCGGUAAGAAUCACAUAAAAUAUUUCUAAUACUUUAGAAUCUAAUUUGGGUUUGUGACAACAUAAUUGAAGAGGUACAUAUUCUGAUACAUUCGUUAUUUAACGACAAGCAUGUACAUAAUACCUAACCUAGGAGGAGGGUGUACGUAGUGUUCUCUCUCCUUAAGAAGGCCUGCCUUUCGCGAAGGCCUCUUUCAAAGGACUGAUAUAAUAUAAUCUUCUUCUUUUUUUAAUCAAAAGAAACGAAAAUGGCUUCAUUGUUCAUAAUUUGGAAUAUAUGGUGGAUUGUACGGUGUUGUUUUGAGGGAGCUUCUCUCUCGGGUCAAGGGUUUCCAAUGGAUUUGUGCAAUGAGAUUUGAUUGGCAACAGUUAUUCGGGCAUCAACGCUCCAAUUUAGCACUCCUCAGUCCUCACUACCUCAUUGUUGUUGACGAUGGCGAUGACGACAUUAGCGAGCAUGGGUGAUGUGUGUGGCAUAUUUGUUUGUAUUGUUGCAUUAUUGCUUUCGGAUGUAAGGGCUUCGCCCUAUAGAUUAGCGAGCAAUUGGUCUCCUCUCAUUCUUUCUACCUUGAUCGAGUUGGAGAUCCAUGCACUUUAUUUGUAGUACUUUUUUUGGCCUCGCGUUUGCAAGCUUUGAAAUUCCCGUGAUUAAGGAAUUAUUCAUUUUUUACAAAAAAAAAGAAGAAGAUUUUUUCCUGAAAAAUAACACAACAACCAUCAUAAUUUCACUUUAUGUGGGAAAUUUAGCCAAAUCCGAAUCACAUCCACGUCGGCAACAGAGAGUGACUUGAAAGAAGUGCACCCAGAAAGCUAAAAAACCAUAAAAACUAGAAAACUUGAAUAAGGAAAAACUAAAGUAUGACAUUCCAAUCUAUUGUUUUAUGGUUUUUGAAGGAUUCAAAUUUGUCAACCACUUUUUACUUGACCACCUUAAUGACCACUAUCUAGAUUGGUGAUACGUGUCUUUUCAAAUUAUUUUACUUUAUUGUUUUAUUGUUGAUAAAAAAAAUAAACAUGUGUCACCAAUCUAAAUAGUGGUCAUUGAGAUGAUCAAGUAAAAGUGGUUGACAAAUUUGAAUCCAUUUCUUAUUGCGGUUUUGUUCUGCCAAAUCCAAAUCCCAUGACCCAAUCAUUUACACUCCCUCUCAAUCUCUGCAAAACUGACUGCUUCCCUUGAAAACGUGCGCAAUAAGGUACCUAGCUCUCUGCCCUUUUCCUUGUAAUGCAUUCAAGUCCCUGUAAAUUUUGUGGUUUUUGGUAAUGAUUUUAUGCUUGUGGAUCUCAAAUGGGUUUGGGUUUGUUUUGUUUUGGGAUUUUUAUAAAUGAAUGCAUUGGAAAUGUUAAAGCUUAUGCGUUUGUUCCAUGAUUCAGUGUUCUGCAAUUUGUGCCUUCUCUUCCGGAUCUGAUGUACGUGAUGUUCUAGCUAGUUGUCUUUUGGAUUGAAAAGAUAUUAUCUUUUGAUUGUUUUUGAUAGAACAUCAACAUCAAUCAUCAAUGAGAUGAAUCUGAAGUAGGUUAUUAGUUUGGAGAUAUGUUAAUGGUUAAUGAAUCAAGCUGAAGUUGUUCUGGUUAUUGGAGCAAUAGGUUCCAUACUGAAGCAUCUAAUUUUGAAUUUGCAAAGAGUGGUUGACGAGUUAUCCUUGGGAUUGGCGGGUGACAUUGAAAAAGUCUUGGUUUUGUGUAUAAGAGUUGAAAUGUGAUUUCUUUACUGUUACCAUGAUGUGGGUUCUACUAAAAGACUCGUUCUUGAAUCUGGGGUCAUGUCCUGUGAUGACUCAAUUCUUGCAAAACACAACUGAGAUGUGUCAAAAUGGGUUCGGGAGCGUCUUUAUAUAUCGAAGUAUCAUGAGUUUCGAUACUAAGUGAGGGUGCUGGAUAGAAUUGAGUUUGGAGGUUCAAUGCUUCAAAAACAAAGAAGCUAGAGGGAACGUAAUUCUUGAUGAUUCAAGACGGAUCAAUGACCUUGUAAUUAAGUUGCUUAUGUGCAAUUGUUGAGCUUAUGGUGUUUCCAGUUUGGAUACGGAUAGCUAUUUCUGUUUUCAGUAUAACCACCAUGUGUUGCAUCCUCUUACUCUUCAUCUUCAUUUACCUAUCUUUGAUCUGAUGUUCCAUUGGCAGAGCUCCCUUAUGCUAAACUGUAAAACCUGCAUUCCAGGUGGUCAUUCUGUUAGAACUUUGGAAGGUCUCGGAAAGGAAACACUCGUCGACAAAUUUUGGGAGCAGUUGCAUAAAAGGAAUGGUCUCCCAACUCGGAGAUAAUGGAGACGCGUACUGGAAAUUCCCGUCCCAAUAAAAAGCAAUCGUCGGAGAAGUCUAAAUCUGCCACUGAAGAGAAAAGGCCUGCAGAAAAGAAGCAAACACUUCUGUGUUUGUCAACUAUGGUAAGUUCAUUAGAUAGUAAGUACUGAGUUUUCUAACAUCGGUGUAACACCAUGCAACUAACUCAGUACUGUAGAAUAGACAUCUAUGUUAGUCUCUUUAGAUAAUAUGCACACUUUAACUUUUCAAAUGACGUCCUGCAUUAGUUAGUCAACUGUUCAAAAUCUCGUAGGUUACAAUUUUCCCAUCUCCAAAACCAAGUGUCCAUAAUCUUUUUCCCUCUUUGUUCACUAAACUAGUAAACUCCUCGUUUAGAUUAAUGUUCUAAAUCUUUUAGUUUUUGUUCCAUCUUGACAUAACUUGUGGCUCAUUACCUACGUUGCAUGGAAUCGGAAGCGGAAACGUGGAAGCGAAGCGUUUGGAAGCGCGGAAGCGAUUUUUUUGAAAAUAAUUUGGAAGCGAAAGCGUUUUAGAAAUGUGAGAAUCAAAAUAAUAUAUACAAAUAACAAAUAUAUAUCACCUAAUUUUAAUUUCAUUCAUUUAUUUUAAUCGUUAAUUUUAAUAAGUUGUACAAAUUAGUUUGAUUGUUUAGCAGAUAACAACUCAUUCUUAAAAAAAAAAGAUAUCACUAAACCUUAUAAAAAUAAACUUCUUCACUAAAAAAAAGUCCACCAUGAAAUAUUGAAAGCACACGUCUCUCUAAUCUCUACACCUUUUAAUCUUCUUUCUUCACCUCUCUAUGCUCUCUCACCCUCCAGGUUGCCGUCAUCUUCUUUAACUUCAUUCUCUCUCACUCCUCUCCCUCCCUCCAGUUUCAAAUCCUUUCUUAACAGGUCCUCAAGCAGAAGAUCUGAUUGAUUAUAGAUUUCGAAAGAGAUAGAGAGAAGAUUGAUGUGCCGCUGAAUCAGUUCUCGUGCAGUGGACCAUCGCGCUUCCAAAUCAAAAUCGUGAGCUUCCAUAUUGGAAGCAUGCGCUUCCGUCGUGCUUCCAAAACCCUCUUUUCCCGGAAUCACGAUUCCGGGCGCUUCCGAGCGCUUCCACGGCGUUUCCGCUUCGCUUCCGCUUCGGAAGCGGGCGAGUGGCCCGGCGCUUCCGUGCUUCCUAGCUCAUUACUGCCCUGUAAACCAACUACGGCCGAGUUGUACCAAAAGGAAAUUCGGCCUCUCAUCAAUGAGUAAAGGUUUUUUUUUUUUUUUUCUUCCUUUUGUGGGGGAAGAAGAAGUAUGCAAUAAUUUUGGAAGUAACAUAUCCCCUAUCACCAUUCCUUGCAACAAGCAAUUACUUCUGGCAUUUUGUGGUUGAUGUUGAUCAUUUUGUAACUUUUGUUCUUUCAUGAUAAUAAAGCUAAUUUCUCAUGUAGCUGCAAUUGCUUGGCAUGAGAGUAGAAGAAAGUGGAUAGGGGAUCAGCGGCUGCAAAGAAUGGCCAAGGAUCCAAUUAUAAGGUAUUUUUUCCUCACAAAGGUUCCUGGAUAGAAUGGGGUUAGCAAGUCAUGGUUAAAGAGUUGCACCUUAAAGUUUAAUAACAAAAGAAAAGUUGGAGAGCAUAACUGCCAUAACUUAUAUUCUUUGUAGGUACAAAUGAACUCAUUAACACUGGUGUGUCAGUUUUUAGGAAAUUACACUUAUAUUUGAGUAUCUGUCACUCUGUCCACUACUUGCACCCUGACUUGCUGAUCUGUAAAUCCUAGAUUUUUCAAAAUUGCUCCUUUAGUCCUUUUGUUUGGUGUGUGUCCAUAUUAGUAGCUUUGUCCAUUUAUGCUGUUAAAUUGUAGCUGCUAUAUGAAUGUCAGGAAGUUAAAUGUGAAAACUAUAUGCUGCAUAUUAUAGCACCAUUGUAAUGAUUGAUGAUAUUAGUGUCUUUGUCCAAUUAUUUUCUGUUCAAUUAUUGCUACUUCUUGAAGAUAAUGUGGAAAGUUUAUGUUUCAGCUGGUCAACAGCCUAUGAGGAUCUACUCUCAACCAAUGAGUGUUUUUCUGAGCCGAUCCCCUUAACUGUAAGUCGAUCAUAUAAUAGCACAUACCUGUCCAAUAAAUAUCUUCUGAUAAGUCAUAUAUCUCUAUUACUUGUGUUUAUUUGACAUUGGAAAUAUUUUCUAAAGUUUGAUGUUUUUAUAAAAUUGGUUUUAAGCAUGUUUUCAUACUGGAGCUCCACUUUAUGUUUUCAAAAGUCAUGGGUAGUUUUCUUGAGCAGCGAGGACGAAAACUCAUCCCUACAACAGUUUGUGGAUGCAUGUAUUGUGCACUGGGACAAGAUAAUGGCGAGGAGUUGGGUGUGCAUGUUUGUGAUCGGUAAUUUAUUUUCUAUGCUUACAUGUUUAUUUUUAGACUCAAGUUACAUGUUUAAAUUGUAUUCUGUUGGCCUUGUUAUAAUCUCAUCCGUGAUUCUAUUAAUGAAGCUUGUUAAUUACUGGCCAUUCCUUAUAUCAAGUUUUAUACGAACAUAAGAGUCUAAUCCUGAUAUGAUUUUGUCUUGUGAGACUCUCAUUGCAAUUUGUAUUCUUUUGAGUUCAUUAUUUCUUAACGUUUAUUGUGUUAGGUUUUAGACGAAUGACUUUACCUUAAGCAAAUUAAAUAUUUUUCUUUUACAUACACCUCAAAUAGUUUUACGCUUCCGUGGUGUUUGCUUAAAUGAUUUCUUAAAUAAACUGUCUUGCGUUUCUCUUGGUUUUUAUUUUAGAGACAUGCGGCACUGUGACGUGUCUAAACUAAGGAGGCGUAGUUUGGGGCGUUACAGAUUUAAUCUUUACACACUAUGAGAAUAUCAAAAUAUCACGAUAUUUGUGCAAAACUCACGAAAUCUUGUUAUUAAAUCAGCCGAAGUCAUCAUAUAUAGUCAUUAACUCGGGCCAAACUUAUAAAAUUAACACUAAAGUCUUGGCGCAGCUAACAUGAUUUGAACCCAGGUUGCCACAUGUUUGUAACAUCCUGAAAUUUCAAAUUUUUAUUUUUAAAAGGAAAGUUAUUUUUAUUUCGAUUUCUAUUAUUCUUUUAAAUUCUUUAUAGUUUUUGAAAAUUAUUCAAAUUUUGUUUUUGGAGCCCAUCGGAUUAAACUAGAGGCCGUGAUGAAUUUGUGGGAUUUUUCGGAACACCGUUUGGAUAUCGGAUAUAUUUUUAAUGAUUUUUAGAAGUUGGUAUUAUCUAAAAAUUUAAUUAAAAAUAGAAAAUCAAGGUCGGUCAAAUUUGGUCCGUCCAGAUUAUAUGGGUAUGGAUCAACUUGGACUUCAUUAUACCCAGUCCCAGACCGACUCCGUCUCCAGCCUCUAUCAGCGACGGAGACCUCCGGUCACUCCUCCGUUGUCCGGCCGUCUCCCGCCGCAAAACGACUGUCUACAGCUCUGUCUCGACGUCCCCGACCUCCCUGGGAUUCCAGCUUGAUGAGUGGAGCUCCGGAAAAGGAGGAGAGAAGGCGACUGUGUUUCCGAUCGGGUUUCCGAUUCCGGUGACGGCGGCGAGCGUGAAUGGUACUGGAAGCAUCCUCUCGUCCUCGUGGUCUUCCCUAUGUCCUCAGUUUCUUCAGAAGAGGUCGGGAGAGAGAGAUUCGAAGUGGAGAAGGAGAGGCUGGGUUCGCCGGCGAGUUUCCGAUUCCGGCCAAGUCGAGGUUUCUCACUGGUAUGAAUAGCUUCAUGUCGGUCUCGGGAACCUUUCCAUGUUGGUGGUUUUCGAAGAGAAGCUCGGAGGAGGGAGAAUCGAAGAGGAGAAGUUUCUGAAUUUUCCGGCGAGGGUUCGACGGAUUCCGGUGAAGCUUGAUGUCGACUCAGGUAUUAAAGUUGGUCUAUUCGAUGAGCUUUACAUGUUUCUAUAAUUGAAAUUGAGAUUGGUUGGGUGUUGGAGAAGUGGGAUUUUGGACAGGUUGUCGACCACCGUGUACGGCGGCGGCGGCGGUUGUUCUUGUAGUUUCUGGCUUUUGUUAAUACAUUGAUUGUGGAGGAGUGUUUUGAGAUGUAUUAGAAUUGCAGGAACAUGAGAAUUGUAUGAAGUUGGGUUUUGAGCAGUGUGGUGUGUGGCCACUGUUCACGGCGGCUAUGGUGGUGUUUUGAAAUCAGAAGACUUGUGUGAGGGAGAGGUUGAAGAUGUGUAUUAUGUUUGGUAUGAGUGUUCAUUCAAUUGGCUUUGGUAUUUGAGAGCAGGGUGCUACGAAUAUCUUGGUUUUGUGAUCAAAGUUGAAGUAAAGCAUAUAUGUUUGUAUGGUUGUGAGAUAUGGUGGUAACUGCAGCAAUGGAUAGUUGAUCAAGGUUCACAUGAUCUUGGAACAAAUGUCCAGUCGAUAACUUUAAGAUGUAAUUGGUAUUGCUAUGCUUGAACAAUUGUGUUUCGGUGGAUUGAAGAUUUGCCGGAAGGUGUGUAGUAAGAUGGGUGUCCAAAGUAAUUGAUGGAGACUGGUGUGUUCUCUUUUGAAUUAUUGUUAGAGAAAGAUGAUUAGAGGAGUUGGGUGUAAUGAACGUUAAGUUGGCUUUGCUGGGUUGUUGUGGAGUCUUAAGAGCAGUAUGGGUACGGGAACAGAAGAAUUGGAUUUUCAUUACUUUCAUAUGGAUUUGAUGUGUUGCUGGGGAGUAGGAAACAGUAAAGGAUUUAGGUUUGGUCAUGUCUGGGUUCGUUGAUAAGUUGUUAUGCCUACAAUUAAGACAUGAGAAGAUUGAUCAAGUUUGAGAUAGGCAAAUAUAAAGGAUUUAGUAGAAAAGAGGAAUUGGGUGUAGAGAGUAAAUUCGGUGCUUAGCUUGGUGCUUGGAGCAUGGUUGGGAUACGACUAAUUAUGGGUGGCGUGUGAUUUGGUAAUUGUCGGAAAAGGUGAGCGGAAUUGGAAAUAAAGAUUUUGAUCGUUUCUAAUUAAAGUGUUUGCCGACUUUAUUGGAACAAGGAUUUGAUGUGAGGGAGCAUGUUGCAAUCCGAGGAGCAGAAUGAUAAGGAUUUCAAAAUGCGUGCCGCGGUGUUAUUAAUUUUAGUAAGCGUCGGAGUCAAGGCUUGGAUUCCAGGUAGGGUCUCUCUCAGGGAACUUUUCUUUAAAUUGAUAAUUAGGUUAUUGUUGAAAUCGGUGCAUUGUGUGGCAUUGGUUGAUAUAACUCUUGGUUGUUAUCGAUUUUGUUAAAAGCAUGUGAUAUCGUUGAUUUAUAUGAAAUUAAUGUUAUUGCUUUCCGUAAAAGCAUGAGUUGAAUGUUAUGAUAUGAGUAUUGAUAUUCAAUUGACAUGCAUAAUGCAUUGUGAGGAAUUGUGAGAAGUGAGAUUGGUGAUUCUGGAGAUGAGAAAGAGAUUGAUAGAAUAGAUACAUUUUGUGUAGUUGAGUUUCCUCAUGGGUUGUCCAAGAUCCAGGGUAGUCCACACGUGCAUAAGUUCAGGGAAUGUAUGCCAUUUCGAUGGCGGACAUCGACAAAACAAUUUUAUCGGGUUUCGGGUUUGGAGACCAUGAGUAUAACAAGAUGAUUAACAAUAGAGGUACAAGCCAUAAGAUAUUACUGAUUAUUAGAUCAUAUAUUUGAGACAUUUGUGUCACCCCCGGUUGGUAAAAUACACGGUAUGGGACGUGUAGGCUCACAUAUCUUUGAUGUAUGGACUGAUAGCCAGUAAUUGAGGAAGACAUUCAUUAGCAUACAUGUAUCAAAUUGUCGUUAUUUAUUUAAAGUAUUAUUUGAUGUUUGAUAACUUGUUUGUGCGAUGUAGUUAAUUAUAACUUAAAAAGGUUUGGCUCUUUGGCCCUACUAAGCGUAAGCUCACCCCUAUAAACUUUUGUUCAGGUACGUUUGAGGACACGUUUUUCUAGAAGCGUAACUGUGAAGUUUAGCUGACGUGUACGAGAGUAGAAGAGUUACAGAAGAUUAGAAGUCAGAUAGAUCGUAAGGGCUUAUCUUUUUGUCUUUGUAAUUGUUUUUUGUUAUUGUAAACGUUUUAUUUUCUUUUAUUUCUGGAAAAGUAUUUGAAAUUGUUUUAUUUUCUUUUACUUUUCCCGCUCAUGUCUCGGGUACGGCGUCAGGUGCUUGGAAACCACCGACACCGGGUCCGGGGUUUGAUGUAUGGACUAGCCAGUAAUUGAGGAAGACAUUCAUUAGCAUACAUGUAUCAAAUUGUCGUUAUUUAUUUAAAGUAUUAUUUGAUGUUUGAUCACUUGUUUGUGCGAUGUAGUUAAGUAUAACCUAAAAAGGUUUGGCUCUACUGAGUGUAAGCUCAUCCCUAUAGAUUUUUGUUUAGGUACGUUUGAGGAUACGUAUUUCUAGAAGCGUAACUGUGAAGUUUAGCUGACGUGUACGAGAGUAAAAGAGUUACGGAAGAUUAGAAGUCAGAUAGAUUGUAAGGGCUCAUCUUUUUGUCUUUGUAAUUGUUUUUUGUUAUUGUAAACGUUUUAUUUUCUUUUAUUUCUGGAAAAGUAUUUGAAAUUGUUUUAUUUUCUUUUAUUUUUUCCGCUCACGUCUUGGGUACGGCAUCAGGUGCUUGGAAAUCACCGACACCGGAUCCGGGGUGUGACAAUGGUAUAUCUCACAUUCUCAACCAAUCCUCCUAAGGUGAUACUUGAUUACUACAUUGAACAUUUUAUUAUAAACUCUACAUAUAUUUUCAUACUUUUAAAAUUUCUUUUCGAAAUUUUAUUAAUAUUGAUAUUUUCUAAUAUUUUUAUCAAAAUAUCUAUUUUUCAGAUAGUCAAAAUUUUCUUGAAACGUGAUAUUUUUGUAAUAUAUCGAAAUUUCAAAUUUUUAUUUUUAAAAGAAAAAUUAUUUCCGAGCUAUUUUUAUUUCGAUUUCUAUUAUUUCUUUCAAUUCUUUGUAGCUUUCGAAAAUUAUUUCAAUUUUUAGUUUGUCAAAAUUUAUCUUUUGAGUCCAUAGGAUUAACGGAAGCGUUUUCGGACAUCGGAGCUAUUUUUAAUAAUUUUUAGAAGUUAAUAUCGUCUAAAAAAAAAAUAUUUUUAAACCCGCUUGAUCUGGACCGUUGGAUCAUUUAAACCGCAAGAUCUGGGCUGGGGGAGACUGGAUCAGAUCAGUUCAGACCCAGACUGGGUCAGCCUCGAUCCAAAUAGCAGCGACGGGUGACCGGACUGCCGCUUUGUCCUCCAGCGACGGCGUGGGGAAAUCAUGGCAGCUUCGGCUUCGUCUCGGUCGCCUGAUCCUAUCUGUGGUCUCGAUUUCGUCGAUGGAGCUUCGAUGAGAGAGAAUCGAAGAAGGGUAGCUUUUUCUGGGUUUGUCGACGAGUUUACUAUUUCAGCCACGGCGGCGAGCAUGAUCGGUCUUGGUAGCUUCACCUCGACCUGUUGAACAUUUCUUUGAAGAGAAGGUCGGAGGAGGGAGAAUCGAAGAGAAGAAGUUUUUAGGUUUUAGGCAGUGUUCUUGGUGUUUUCCGGCGACCUCGGACUUCAAUUCAGGUAUCAAAGUUGGUCGACUCGUCAAGCCCUACAUCUCUAUAUAAUUGGUUUUCAUUUUUGAUUAAGUUUUGAAGAAUCGAAGUUUUGGGGUUUUACUGUGCAAUUUGAGUUUUCCUGUUUGUGUGGUGAUUUUGGUUGCCUUGGGGCGUUCUUCGAUUGGAAUUGACUUUAUGAAGUUGAUUUGAUGAUCUUAAGCCCUUGAAUUACAUAAUUGGAAAAGUUGGGUUUUGGGGCAGUGUUGUUCGGCGAUGGAAGUGGUGGUUGAUGGUUCUGGGUUUGGUUUAUGUUUUAGAUGAAAUUACAAGAGCAUUAGAACUUAAUUAUGUUGUUGUGUCGCCUGGAUUCCAUAAACGGAGAAGUUGAGUGUAAGAAAAUUAGAGUUAUGCAAUUUGGAAUUGAGCUAAGAUUGGAGUAGAUGAUAGUAUCGGGUUUUCUGCUGAUUUUGGUUUAUUGUUUGUGGUGGUGACUGCAGUAUUCUUGUUCCAUUUCCAAUCAUAUGAAAGUGCAGGAACAUGAAUUUGGAUGCUUGAUUGGUAAAAGAUGAGUUUUGGGUGGUAGGAAAUGGAGCUGUGUUAUUGGAAUAGGGAGGGGAAGAUGGUUGUGUAUAGUACUAAUACUGAACUUGGCGGAGUUGAAGGAUGCAACUAAGAACUGUUGAUUUGCGAUAUGGAACUAGGAGCUUGAUUUCAAAUGGAGAAAGUGAGUAUUGGCAAGUGCAGGAGUAGGACAACUUGAGAAGUAUAAAUUGGCUAAAGAGCUUAUGGGUGUCCUUAUCAAUUUCAAAGACUGGAUUGCAUCGACUUGAAAUCAUCAGAGUGAAUAAAUGCGGAUUAAGGAACUCAUCUGGGUGUCUUAGUAGAUUUAUGAAUUCGGUCCGGUUGACUUAAAGUGACUUAAAUUUGGCUUAAAGUGAGUUUUGCGGAUUAAGGAUUCAGGGUGUCCUUAGUAAUUUUAAGAACAUGAUCAAUUUUGGAAAUUGAUUUAGUUUAUUUGAGGUUCGACGGCUUUCUCGGUAAGGAAUUGUGACGAGGAUCGAGUGACUAUCGACUUUUUCAGAAGCAGAAGGAUAAAGAUUUCAGAAUGCGUGUCGCUGAGUUAUUAGUUUUAAUUAGCGUCAGAACUAGCGCUCGGAUUUCAGGUAUGGUCUUUCUUGGGGAACCUUUUUUUAAAUUGAUAAUUAGAUUGUUAUUGAAAUUGGUGAAUUGUUUGUCAUUGAGUGAUUAACUCUUGGAUGUUACUGCUUUCUAUAAAAGCAUGUGUAAUCGUUGAGUUAUAUGAUUGUUAUUAUCGCUUUUCUUAAAAAGUAUGUGUUGGAUGAUAUAAUAUGAGUAUUGUUAUUCGUUGCAUACAUAAUGCAUUUUGAAGAAUUAUGAGAUUAGUGAGAUUGGUGAUUAUGGAGAGGUGAGAACGAGAUCAAAAUAUACAUUUUGUACAGUUGAGUUUCCUUAUGGGUUGUCCAUAAAUCUAUGUCAUCCCACUUGCGCAAAUGAGUGGGCAAAGUAUACUCCUUCGAUGGCGGACAUCAAUAAAACGAUCUUUCGGGUUUCGGUUUUGGAGAGUAUGAGUAUAACAAGAUGACUAACAAAAGAGGUACAGGUGAUGAGAUAUUACUGAUUGUUAGAUCAUAUAUUCGAGACAUCUGAGUCACCCAUGGUUGGUAAAAUACACUGUAUGAGACGUGUAACUGAGGAAGACAUUCAUUAGCAUAUAUGCAUCUAAUUAUCGUUAUAUAUUUAAAGUAUUGUUUGAUACUUGAUAACUUGAUUGUGUGACGACAUAGUUAAAUGUAACUAAAGAGGUUUGGCCCUACUAAGCGUGAGCUCAUCCCUAUAUACUCUUAUUCAGGUUCAUACAAGGACACAUAUUUGUAGAAGACUAACUGUGACGUUUAGUUGACGUGAACGAGAGUCGAGAAGGACUACCGAAGUUUCUAGUGAGCUAAACAACAAGACUAGUUUUACCUUUAUAGUGAGCUAGACUGCAAGACUUGUUUUGUCUUUAUAAUCGGUUUUGUUUUUUGUAAUCGUUUUAUUUUCGACUAUUUCGAGAAAAAUAUUUAAAAUUAUUUUAUUUUCUUUUAUUUUUCCCGCUCACGCCUCGGAUUCGGUGUUAAGUGUUUGGAAACCACCGACACCGGGUCAGGGGUGUGACAAUUUUAGUCCUUGGUUUGAUGCCUAAGCUACUUCGCUCCUCCAAACUGGGCCGGUGUUGGAUCAAACAAACAGAAACUUGAAAGAAGGAGUCCGAUACAAGUCAUACAACUACGUUGGUCGGAGCGGAUUUUACGCAUCAAGGUGCCCUUGCACCAUUAAUCUGUAAGUUUUUAAAUCUUCGUAUGCAAAGAUUUAAUGAAGACUAGAGACCUUAAAUUCUUUUCUUUCAUUUUUAUUUUUGACCUGAUCAAAUUAAACGCCAAUAAUUAGAGUACCUCUUAUUCAAUCUCAUGUCCUCAUCUCUUGUGUUGAAAACACUUUUGAUUAUUUUUUUGAGUUUUAAUUUUGUUAAUGGUAUUAAAAUACAUGCAUGAUAAUGCGACAUAGAUGAUCGGAUCAAAACAUUGCGUAUUAAUUGCUCGAUUCACUUGUAGAAGAAUUUUCGAGCUUCGGGCCAAUAUUCCAUUUUUCUUUUUAAUAAAAAAUUCUAGCAGCUAGACAGCUAGUUAACCAAUUGUGAAGCUACACAACUGGGACUUGCAGCGGAAAACAACUACCACGCGUUGCAUGGAGAGGUUAGGUCCUGCAUGCAACUCCGCCGCCCGUAAAUCUCCUACUGACAGCUCUACCCCUCGAUUUGCAGAUACUGAUGUAAAACCCGAGGACAAAACGGUAAUCGUUGAUACUCCGAGCCAGACAUAAAACUAUCCAAGAACAAAGAGGAGACACCACAGGAAAAAUGACCGGACCGCCUCUACCUCGACCCUUUCUAACGUGCUUGGUUGGUGUAGCAGUCUUAACCUGCGCACUAACCUUCUGUGUUGCCCUAGAUGUCACCCCCCAAGACCCAAUCAUCCACCAAGUCACAGACCAUGAUACUAACAAGCUCCUUGGAACCGAGAAAGAGUUCAAGAGUUUCAUGGAGAAGUAUGAGAAGAAGUACCCUACUAGGAAGGAGUACAUGCACCGGCUAGUUGUUUUUUCCAAGAACAUGAUCAGAUCCGCCGAGCACCAAGCUCUGGAUCCGACGGCGGUUCACGGCGUCACGCCGUUCUCGGAUCUGGAGGAGGAGGAGUUCGAGAGGAUGUACACCAUUCCUCGAAAAGUUAAAGUAAUCUUUUUUAGAAAUCGAAUGGAUUCGGUCUUAUACAUACGCAAGGAAGGUAAUAAAAAAAAAGAAAGAUGAGUUCUUUUAUCACUUAGGAGCUGUGCGAGAUAAAAGUCUCAUGCACGGUUUUGAAUGAGAGAAAGAAGUGAGGAAUCCUUUUUUCGACACUGACUCUCCCACUCCAGUUGUUGCUUUUUUUUUCUUUUUUUUCUGUUACUUCAAAAGUCGUUGCUUCAGUUUCAGCCACUCGAAUUUUCGAUGUUCUUUUUUAUUUCUCAUCAAACGAAUGGCAUUUUCUUCCUAUUACUCAAACAAGCAUGAAACGUAUGCUUGCGUAUUCGUCCAUAGGUCAAAUUGGAUAUGUAAUUAUUGGAAUAAUUGUUGGAGACUCAAAUGGUGGAUAUGUAAGCAUGAUAACUUAUAUGUUGUUCUAUAUCUCUAUGAAUCUAGGAACUUUUGUUUGCAUUAUAUCAUUUGGUUAGAGGUGCGCCCGGCUUAACCAACGGCGGAGGCGGUACGGGGAGCACGGUUGAGCUUCUGGAUGUUAGCGGGUUGCCUGAGAGUUUUGAUUGGAGAGAGAAAAAGGAGCUGUUACUGAGGUCAAGAUGCAGGUAGUUUCUAAUUUUCGUUUUAUUUCUGAUUUUUUAGGUUGGACACACAAUAUAUGUGAUUAACAGUUUCGGCCGUACUUAAAUCCUAGCUUUUUGCAAAUCAAGUUAUGGCACAUACGAUAUAGAAGUCUCGUAGCUGGUUGUAAAUUACUAAAUUGUGUAAUCUGAAGUCGAUCAGCUGAUCAGGUGCUGCUGGUUCUUUUGUUUAAUUGAUUGUAUAACUAGCUUGACUUUGAGAGUUUGAAGUUUUGUACAGAAAGAUUUGUCUAAUAGAGCUAGGGUGUUUGUGGAACAUGGAAUUAUUCUUCAGGCAAGGAGUUGUAUUGUGAUACUUAAAGCCUCUAAAUCUCUUGUUAUGGAUGCAGGGUGGCUGUGGGUCGUGCUGGACCUUUAGCACAACGGGAGCUAUUGAAGGAGCCAAUUUCAUUGCCACUGGGAAGCUUGUUAGUCUCAGUGAACAGCAGCUUGUUGACUGUGAUCACCAGGUAAUUAAGCCUAGCCUCUCUGGAAUAUAUUGAAGUACUCAUUUAACUUUAGGGCGAUAAAAAUUUAAUUGAUUGAGCAUAUAUAUAAUAUUUGGCAUGCCUACUUAAUUAGUUUCGUUUAAUGUUUGUGGCAACUAUAAUCAAGUGUGAUGCAAAAGAGAAAGAUGCAUGUGAUCGUGGUUGUGGUGGCGGACUUAUGACAAAUGCCUACAAGUAUCUAAUGGAAGCAGGAGGGUUGCAAGACGAGGUUUCAUACCCUUAUACGGGGAAAAAGGGCGAAUGCAAAUUUAAUCCUGAAAAAGUAGCCGUGAGAGUAACCAAUUUCACCACUAUUCCCCUUGAUGAGAAUCAGAUUGCAGCGAACUUGGUCCACAAUGGUCCUCUUGCCAGUGAGUACUAAACCUGAUAAUAUGCUUAAAAAUAGCUAGGCUUUUUAUGUAUCUAUGUGUGCGUACAUAGAACUGCCUUAAGUGUCUUAUUUUCUGAAUAUGAUGUGCACUGUUUAGCAUAUUUAGAUCUGAGUGUAGAUACACCCCACUGAUACAGAAUCUUAAUUGAUGUAUGUAUGCGCAGUUGGCUUGAAUGCUAUGUUCAUGCAAACCUACAUUGGCGGUGUGUCAUGCCCUCUUGUUUGUUUCAAGAAAUGGGUGAACCACGGUGGUUCACUUGUUGGAUAUGGUGAGAGUGGCUUCUCGAUUCUCAGGCUCAGCAACAAGCCGUAUUGGAUCAUCAAGAAUUCAUGGAGCGCAAAAUGGGGAGAACAUGGUUAUUACCGACUUUGCCGAGGCCAUGGCAUGUGUGGGAUGAAUACCAUGGUGUCUGCAGUUGUGACCAGUACGCGGGCAUCCUAGCUGCAUCUCCCGAGAUUAGCUAGUAUAUAAUUAUACACUAUAAUAUUAUAUGCACCUCUCCCUUGUUUUUUCUUAAUCCGAAUUUGAUGUUCCUAUAAUCAUAUUUCAACAAUAUUAUUGUUAAUAUGCCGAAGUGGAAAGUCUUGUUUACGUCAAAACCAAUUCGAACUAUAUUUUGUUAGCUUUAAAUGCUAGAUUGUCAGACUUCAAAUUUAAGUCGGAAAAAUUUUACAAUAUGUUAAUGCAUGUUAUGCAUCAAUUUUAUCCUAAAAUUGUAAAAUGAGUCUCUAAAGUAGUAAUAUUAGUCCUUGAAGUUGUAAUAUAUACGAGUAGUUGUAAAUUUUAAAGUUACAACAUUAGUUAUCAUGUGUCCUUAAAGUAAAUUUUACAGUUACAACAUUAGUCAUUGUGUCUUUAAAGUGAUAAAAUGCGUGCUUAAAGUGGUAAUUGAAUCCUCAAAGUGAUUGAAAAAGUUUUUAUAUCUUUGAGGAUUUGUAUUACAACUUUGAGGAUUUGUAUUACAACUUUGAGGACUCAGUUACCUCUUUAAGGACACAUAAGGAUUAAUAUUGUAACUAAUUUUUUUACAACUUUAAAGACUUAUAUUACAACUUUAAGGACUAGCUAAUAUUACUACCGUAAGACUCGAUCAUUUUAUAACUUAAGAGCAAAGUUGAUACAUCACAUGCAUUUUUUUUUUAUUGGUUAAUGAUCGAGGAUAGGCGAAUAAUCACCUAUCACUCUAUGUUAUUAAUAAAAGAAAAAAGAAACAAAGGAGGGGGAUCAAAACCAAAACAUCCUAAAACAAAUGACAGACUAGCUGAAACGAAAUUGAGGCAUACCUCUAACAUCGUUAUUAUAAGACAAUAAUAUGAAAGGUGGAGGCUCAUCCCACCAUAUCAAUUCAGAGCAUGACGUACCUUGAUUUGCCAGAGCAUCAGCUAUCUUAUUCCCUUCACGAAAAAUAUGAGUAGCCUUGAAAUUCAUUUUAGAGAUUCGGUAUAAGCAAUUCAACCAACGAACUCGAAGAGGCCAAGGAACAAGAGAAGGUCUGCGAAUAUAAUCAAGUACCAAAGAUGAGUCAACUUCCAACCAAAUAUGCUUCCAAUCACGAACCCAAGCAAGCUCAAUAGCUUUAAUAACAGCCAUUAUCUCCGUUGAAAUUGAACUAGGAAUUUCAAGAUUAGAGGCAAAAAGCACCUAGAAAGUGGCCCUUGUAAUCUCUAAAAAUAGCACCAUAACCACCCACUCCCUCUUCAUGCUUCCAAGAGCCAUCAGAAUUUAUCUUCACCCACCCAAGAGAAGGAGGAAUCCAAUUAACUUCAACCACUCUAGGAGUGGCACGAGGUCGACAUGGGGCUCCAAAACAUUUCAAAAUUCGUAGCUCCUGGACACUGUUAUGCAUAUGACCCGUUGUAAGAUGACUAGUGGCUCUUAUAUGACUUGAUAUUAGCUUGCAAACAACUUCAACUGAAAAGCGACAACCAUCAAAUCUGGUUUUAUUUCUCACAUGCCAAACAAACCACAAAAUGGAGGUAAAGCAAAUAAGCCAUAAUUCCAUUAAUUGAGGACUUCUUCCAUUCUGCAAACCCAACCCAUAAAGCUCCAAAAUAGAAGAAGGAAUCAUACCUAACUCAAAAAUAGAGCCAAAGUGACAGAAGAGACGCCAACGGCACCAACACCCAAAGCCAAAGGUAAAGUGUUCGUCAAAGGACUCCACAAUUCCAAGAAUGCUUUCCAUGUGCUCGUGCAAUAAUGGUAAGGAUAUCGAGAGACGCCAACGGCACCAAAUAUUCCAGCUUGAUUCAAUACGCCUUCAAAAUUGGCUAAUAUGAAUUCUGUCCACUCCAUUACGCCUAUCUCAAGUGUAGCACAACCCCGGAAACAAAGGCUCGAAGACCAAUCUUGUUUGGUGUUUAGCAUCCUGUGAAGUAUCGGGUAAAAAUUCUCUUCGAAAGUGAAAAGACCUCCAUCAUGUCUGUUAUCAACCUUCUCCAAAGUAUGCCCCUUAAAUACAUGGGAAAAGUUGUGGGUUGUUCUUAUCACUUGAUCCUCCAAAUCUUGGCGAAAUGUAAGAAAGCCUGAGUUCAUUUCAACUUCUGUCACCAAGGUAAUGAUGUCUUUAGGAGGGACAUCAACAUGAAUGGAGCUUAAAGGCUGUGAUCUCACGUACUCUAUGCCCUUUCCAACAACCUGCCUGUGUUUGUCCAAAGCUGCCUCGCGGGAAAUUCGACCAUAUGCAUCCAUUACCUGAGAUUAUAGCACGCAGAGAUGUUAAAAGCAAGCAAUAGCAAGUCAAGCUUUGCGCGAGAAAAGCAAGUUCCACGUACAAAGCUUGAGGGGGCACUGUUGAUACCAAAAAAAAAGGAUUACAGAAAAGGAAAAAAAUAAAUAAAAUAAAUAAAUGGAAGAGUAUUUAUUCAUGUCAUACUCUUCCGUUGGUUUUGAUUACACGCACAAAGCUUUUGAGUUCAAUUACAACUCUUGCAAGCAGGUGCUUGGAUAAGAACAAAUCAGUACGAGCACCAGAGUUUGAUUGUAACUCAAUUAUCCUAACCAAGCACUCUAUAUAAAGAGGCCAAUACCUUCAAAAAAAAAAAAAAAANAANNNNNNNNNNNNNNNNNNNNAACACCAACGGGAGGAGGCAGGCGGGCAACAAGGAGGAUCACAAAGGAGCGGUUCAUUCUUUACAAGGUUCGGAUGGAGAGUUCUCUUUCUCUUUGCGCAGCUCUCUUUAUGUUCUGUUGAUGGAGGCAUCACUGCCUUCAUAUUCCUCGCAGAUGGCCUCUGGUGUUCUUGGUUACUAUUGUUCCUGGUCACCCAAAUCCCUUGCGGAUCGAUCUGGUUAUUAUAGUUACUGUGUUCUGUUGGUUACUUGGUUACUACUGUGUUCUCUUGGUUACUUGGUUACUCAAAUCCCUUGUGGAUCGUUCCUGGUUACUCGUUACUUGGUUACACAAAUCCCUUGCGGAUCGUUCCUGGUUACUUGUUACCCUAAACAUUGGUUACUGGAUACUAUGGUUACUGGAGACUAAUGGCUACUAUGGCAAUGGUUCUAUGUUACAAUGGUUAUAUGACACUAUGGUUACUAUGAUUCUGGUUCUAUGGCUACUGUAGCACUAUGGUUACAAUAUGGUUCUGGUUCUUUGGGUACUUUGACACUGGUUACUAUAACAGAUCGGUUGCCCUUUGAUCCUACAAAACCAAACACAAAACCAAUACUCAAAAUUCCACCACAAAAGGCCAUUGUUGUCCCUGUUCCCUGUUAACCACCACAGCCAAAUACCUUUCCAAAUUCCAUGUUUCAAGCACCAACUCAAAUACUGUGCAAUGAAACUAAAAGAGACAAUAACAGAGGCUUACCCUCAAACUAUGACAAUCGAUCUAUUCCGAUACUACAACUACUACCUGUGUUUCAUACCUUCAUGCUGUAGCAGGAAUGGUGAUGAUAUUGCAAAAAGAGAACAGCAAGUUCCUGUCAAGUUAACCUCACAAAAACAUCCGAGCAAAGAGAGUCAUUGAUUCUUUGGCUCUGUCCCUUUAAAAAAAACAAAGGGGGCUCGGUGAGUUUUCUCAUGAUUCUUCUCCAAUAUCACAAGAUGACAAGAAUCAAGCUUGGCGGUGACCCUCCCAAACAGAGAAGGCUUACUCAAACAUAAAUAUGCAUUCACCACCAUGGAGUAAAACAAAAGAAGCAAACUUAAUUAAACAAGUUUUGUUUCUGGAAGUUCCAAGGCAGCGAGCCGAAUACACCCACAGUCAAAUAAAUUGGAGCUAAGAAGUUUAGAGUCUCAAAGCAAAAGACGUGUUCUUCCUCAAAUUAAAGCCUGCAAAUUGAAGCCUGCAGCAAAAUUAACCUACUCGAAGCUAAGCUCAUCCAUUCGACGCUAAGCUAAUCUACUCGAAGUUAAGGAAGCGAAGGAUAAUUAAUUUUGCCAUUGAAGAAUUGUAACAAAGCACCUAUCCAACACAAGGCAGUAACCAAAUUGAACGCUACCUGUGAAGAAACAAGCUUUUGACCAGUGGGAAAUCCUUCGAAAUUACUCUGAAGCAUAAUGGAGAUACUUUCGUCAUGAGGGUAUUUGAAUUGUAGGGAUGAAAGCAGGAACACAAUAGGGGUUAUCCUUACCCAAUUUCGCACAGUGAGAAAGAGCACAGCAAAUCUCAAGCCUCCCAGUGUUGAUAAAUUUCUUCUCGGCGACUUAGGAGCACUGCCAUCACCAAGUCGGUUGCUGCGCCAACCCCUCUCCAUUUGAUCAGUUUCGGCCUUCAAGUUCUUCUGGGUUACAAUAAACAAGGCAGCAGAAGAUCAAAAGAAAGAAAAGAAAUGAAGAAUGGGGAGAGGGAAAGCUAACGGGCCUCCACAUUGACGGAUGCUACUCACAAGCAAGGCCCAUGUCAAAUUUGGGCCCAUCUGAAAAGUUCAACGAGGCUCAAUAUAUGGGUGUUCAAAUCAAAAUACCCAAACUUCGGUUUCGUUUAAAAAUUCUUCGGAACCCGAAUGAAGUUGCGUUUGGUACAAAACCAAGAAAUACUCAAAUACCCAAAUUUUUGAACUACAAUGGUUUGAUCCCUUCACAGGGUAUGUAGGCAGUCCAGAUUUAAAUCUGGAUAUAACCACAUUUAAAGCCAAAUCGUUGGUUCUUUCCAAGCCAAAUUCUAAAACACAUAACCAAACCUUUCGACAAGUCAUCUACUUCGUCGAAACCCCAAAAGCCAUAAAACUUGAACUACGAGUGACUUGAUCCCUUAUGGGGUACGUAGGCAGCCUGUAAAACAAAUCGGGUGCAGUCGCAAUUCCCCUCGAACACACAUUCCCCAUUUGUUACUUUGUAAUUAGAAUCAAAGGGUCUUCCCCCGAAAGCAAGGGUUGUAAUUAAGAAAUUUAUUUUAUUUCGAAUGGGUCGAACCAGACAUAAUUAAAACUCUAUUUUAAUCAAUGAGAUAGAGUGAAAUUGUGUUGGGUAUAUUUAUUUACAAUUUUUGCUCAACAUAGUUUUUGGCGACUUCACUGGGGACUCUCAACUGGUCAUCAGACAAAUAAAUGACGAGUAUGCAGUCAAAAAUGAGAACCUUAUAUCAUACUACCAAAGAGUUAAAUAUCUCCUGGGACAAUUUCGAGAGAUAUAUGUUGGCCACAUUCCAAGAUCAGAGAAUGAUAAAGCAGACGCAUUGGCUAACUUGGCAGCUUCUUUAGUACUUCCUGAAGAGAAAGACAUCCAAAUAACAGUUGGAGAACGUCGAUUGCAGUCCUACGUCACUUGAACGAAUGGAAGCUACCAAUGAAACAAAUGUAGUUUCUGUGUUCGAAACUGAGGAAGAAUCUGAUUGGCUCAAAUUGAUGCAGUGAACGAGCAAGAGAGGAAAGUAUGAUUCAAAGUCUCCGAGCAAACACCACAAAGCUCACAUCUAGAAACCCAAGGAAUACCUCGACGCUGAAGUAAAACAUCAGAAAUAACUCUACCUCUUAACACCUUCCAUGCUAGGAAAGACAUUCUUGGCAGAAUAUAUUUAGCCCAUAAUCUCUUACCCCAAAUUACUGGAUUAGAAGAAUGCCGCAUAAAAGUAUAGGCUUGUUUUGCGGUUAACUCAUCGGAGGCUGAAGAGGUCCAUAUAAGUUUGUCAUUAACUGAAGGAUCUUCUGACACAGGGACUUGAUUGAUCAUACCACAUAAGGCUGGGUAGUGCAACUGUAGUAAUGGAGGAAGAUUCCAUGAACCAUUGUCUAUAUAUUUUGACACCAAAUCCGAGUUAUCCUGCAUCAACACAUUAGAACCAAAGAACUCAUUUAUUGGCCUACCCAUAAACUUGUCGCGCCAAAAGUAAAUUCCAUUCCCAGAACCAAUGAACCAUUGAGAAUUAUCUUGAACAGUCUUCCAGAAUUGACGAACACCAGGCCAUAUAGAAGAAGGAGCAUAAGAUUUCCGUCUAGAGAAACGAUUGCGAAUAAAAGCACAACCCUCAGAUUGAGCUGUAUAGAUUUCCCAGCAACGUUUCAAUAAGAGAGAUCGAUUAAGCAGAACUAGUUGUUUGAGCCCCAAGCCACCUUCUGCAAUUGGGGAACAACAAGACUUCCAAGCCACAAGAGGGAUCCCUCUUUUAUCAAUUGAGCCAGACCACAGAAAGUUUCGGCACCAUACCUCAAUUUUUCGCACCACAGACACAGGCCAUUCAUAUACUUGAAAAAUGUAUACCAACAUGCUAAAAAUAACAGACUUGAUAAGCUGCAAACGUCCUGCCAUUGACAAAAAAGAACUCACCCAACUCGAUAACUUUAUCCUUAUUUUGUCAACAAUCUGAUGGAAAUAAGAAGCACGAGGUUUGCCAUGAAAAAUAAGGGCACCCAGAUACAUGAAUGGAGCAGACCCCAAGGGAAUACCCAAGAAGUUCGAAAUAGAAUGCCGCCUUGAAUGUAUACUAUUUCCAAUAAAAACCUGAGACUUCCCUUUGUUGAUAACUUGACCUGAAACUCUACCAUACUCAUCGAAGAACCGCAUAAUCCGCGAUAAAUUCCGCCUAUUGCCCCGAAAAAAAACAAUAACAUCAUCUGCAAAUAGGACAUGAGAUGGAGCAAGAGUAUUUCGUGGAGAAGAGAUACGCUGCAGUUGUCCCGAUGAAACAAGUAAAGAGAUCCCACGACUAAGGACUUCUUCUGCUAAGCAAAAGAGCAAGGGAGAAAGAGGGUCACCUUGACGCACACCCCUUUCACAAGAAAAAUACCCCACAGUCCUCCCAUUAAUCAACAGAGAAAGCUUGGCUGACAGAAGCAAGGCACGCACCCAUUGUACAAAGAUCGGAUCAAACCCAAAAGCCUGAAGAACAUGAAGAAGAAAAUCCCAUGACAGAGUAUCAAACGCCUUUGUAAUAUCAACCUUAAUUGCAAGGUUACCCCCCAUGACAUUUUGAGUUCAACAAAUUAAAGCACUCUGAAGUAGUUAAUAUACAGUCUGAUAUGUUCCUCCCUGCAACAAAAGCAUGCUGUUGAGGAGAAAUAAUACGAGAUGCCACUGAUGCCAACCGGAUAGCUAUGAUCUUUGGGAUAAUUUUAAACACAAAGUUGGUGAGGGCAAUAGGCGAAACUGCUUUAUGGAGUCGGCAUGAUCAACUUUGGGGAUUAAGAUGAUAAUACCUGAGUUAAAGGAAGGAGCCAAAUAACCAUGUUGAAAAAAUACUGAACAGCCUUAACAACAUCAGCACCAACAACAUCCCAGCAAGAGACGAAAAAAUGGCCAUUAAAUCCAUCUGGCCCCGGGGCACUAUCAGGAUCCAUUGAUUUGACAGCUGCCCAAAUUUCCUCUGAUAAUGGAACACUAGUAAGCAUCGUAUUUUCCUCAGGAGUUACCAUAGAGUGAAUCACUUUGGACACCAAGCCACUAUCUUCAUACUCUGCAUGUUUAGUAAAAAGAUUUUUGUAAUAAUCAACUAUAUGAUUUUGGAUAUAAUGAGGAUCCUGAAGCACCUGAUCUCCAUCACGAAGCAGAGUAAUAGAAGAACGAUUUCGGCGCACUUUACACAAAGCAUGAAAAUAAGAAGAAUUACGAUCACCUUCUGAUAACCAUCGCAACCUUGACUUCUCACGCCAAAGAAUUUCCUGAUGCAGAAUAGACUCAUUCAAAAUGGCCUGCAAUUCAGUCUCUUUUUCAAACUCUUCAUCUGAUCCCCCAGAAGCUGCAAUUUUAUUUUGAAUAUCAGCAAGGGCUGCAAGGUCAAACUCAACCCGACGGUGAACAUCCCCAAAGACCUCCCAGUUCCAAGUACGGAGAGAUUUCCUUAAGGUACGCAGCUUAUAUUGCAGGACAGAAUAAGGACAACCAAACGAAGUAGUAGAGGACCAACAUCCUUUGACAAAACUCAUAAAAUCCUUAUGCUCCAACCACAUUUUUCUAAACCGAAAGAGACUAAAACGAGACCCUGUAAACUUAGAAAAGGACAUUAGUAGUGGAUUAUGAUCAGAGCAAGUUCUGGGUAAGGUGCAACAGUCAAACUGAUCCCAUUCCUCCAUCCAAUUCAAAUUAGCAAGACUUCUAUCUAAUCUUAGCUCCACAUUACCACGAAAACCACGCCGUCUCACCCAUGUAAACUCUGCCUCUUUAGUAUCUACAUGAAUAAGUUCACAAACAUCUGACAUUGUCUGAAAUUCCUCACAUGAUCGCCGACAUAGAGGAGCACCUCCUUUCUUUUCAUGAGCACCAAGAACUGCGUUAAAAUCUCCAAAAACCAACCAUGGUCCUGUAACAAAACGACCUUUGAAAUCAGUAAUAUCUUCCCAUAACUUCCGGUGGCCAGAGAUUGUGGUACGAGCGUAGACAGCUGUAAGAAAACAGUUUACCGAAUCAAACAUAACUUGUAAAGAAACCUGCUGAUCCGAGGUAGACAACACCCGAAUCCAUGGAGCCAGAGAAGUCUUACAAAAAACCCAUAGAUUAGGUAAUGCAGAACCCCGGUCAUUUGCACCAACAAAUCGCAUGCCUAACGAACGCCAAAAGAAUAGAGGAAUUGAAGUCAAGGCAACGAAAGGCUCAGCUAUACAUAAAACUUCCAGGUUGUGAACCCGUACAAACUGUUUCAAAGCAUCUUGAGUGGGGACAUUAGCAAUGCCCCGUAUGUUCCAAUAAAGAACCCUCAUUUAGGAGUGUCUUUGGAGCGACGGAGAUAGGCUUCCCUAUUCUCCUUCGAAGCAGCCUUCCUCUUUUGAGACCUGGACAUAACAACAGUAAAACCAUCAUCAAUGUCAACUCGUUCUGUCUCCUCAUACCAGCUAUCAAUUCGAGUUACUGAAUUUGCAGCAACAGCAACCCCAAUGUCAGAAGACUGCUCAUGCAUACUACCACCGGCAGAGUCAUCUUCACUAUUCUGCUCGUUCUGAUCAAUUGCAUACCUAGUAUCAUCUUCUUGCUCAACCACAUUACCAUGGAUAGCUACUGGUACCAAAACCACAUUCACCCCCGGCUCAACCACUUCUUGGACAGGUGCCACCACUUCCACUAGCGGUUCCGGCACAACACUAGAUAUCACUAGUUGGCCGACCGGUGCUGGAGACUUCUGCACAAAGGAAGGACCCUCACCAAAAUCUUCCCUGGGGUUUGGAGUUGAAUCAAUAAUCAUGCUCUUACCUCGAUCUGCUGGAUUAGAUGGGUUUUUAGGCACAUACACUUUGGAGACUCGUUGCUGAUCACGGUUCCUGCGAGAUCGUCUACUACGCUUGCGCGAUCGACCUCUGCCUUUCUCAGUCUCAUUAUCCAUUGGAACCGGGUCAGAAGAUCUAUGCACAUACUUGCAAGCUGUGACAAGGUGCCCAACGUUGCCACAAUGAGCACAAAUAUGUGGAAGCUUCUCAUAAUCCACAGUCUGAACAAAAGACGAACCGCACUUACGCUUGACAACCAAUUCAUGCGGUGGAUCAACAGAGAGAUCAAUAUCAACCAAUAUUCUAGCAAAUAGGGUUCUAGGUUCCCAAAACUCAAGCCCUAGAUCCUAAAACCUCACCCACACCUGAGCAUUAGUAUUACGUUGAUUCGCUGGGGAGAAAUUUGGAACCCAUCGCAUGAAACGCAAGAAGCCAGGCUUGAGAGCAAUUGCACCCUUUACCCAGACUGUAGAGAGAUCCUCAUCCGUAGAGAAGCUAAACGUGAAAUAACCUUUUCCCAUGGGAAUAAUCUUCCAAGCCCCUAGACUUCCCCAAAGAAGAGAAAGCUUAUGAGACAGAUCUGAUGCAGAGUAGGGUUUAUCCCUCAAACCCAAUUGCACCCUUCCGAUUAACAUAUGUUUACAAUUAUCCAAACCCGAUUGAUAGCCCUCUUCUGAAAUAGUAACAGUUGUCUUGCCAUCUAAAAUCUCAGGAAUAGGUAGAUCAUCAAUUGGGAUGAAAGCUUGCGCCGCCGCCGCCGCAUAAGAUUUCGUCGGCUUCGCAGCCCCCUCGUCGAGAAAAGACCACGGGCAGAAGGGACGAUGCUGAACAGCCAUGACGUCGUGAAGCAAACGGAACUCGAAUUCAAGGAUUUACUGCAGGGAGGCUCCAGCACGGGGAAACCCUAGCAGAGCCAUCACCAACAUAAUGUAACUCGAUGCAUCACAUCCAUUAACACACUAUAGUCUUACCUUUUAAGUUGAGUCAAUGCAAGAGUUGCACUAUUUAGACCAUUUGGUUCUUCCGAAAAUAUGUAUUAUAUUUUUGAGAAUUUCAACGUCUGUAGUAGAGUCGACGAGGAUUUUAGAUUUGAUUUCGUCGAUGGCGUUGUCGAGCUAUUGCGUCAAUAGGAUGAUGAAGAGCAACCGGAAUCACCUCUCUUCUGACGCAAUUUGUUUUUCAAAGAUCUGGUCCGUUGCACUGGCCGGUCGAAGCCUUUUCAGUUCUCAAAACAGUUCAGAAACUACAGGUCUGAUAAUGAAAUGCAUAAAACAUUUAUAACUAUUGGUAAUUUAUAUCCUAGAGUUGUUCGAGUGUACUAACCACAGGAAAUAACGAUCUAGCUAGACUACCUUAUUUUCGUUAGGGCUGCUCUAAUUAGUCAACAUAUGCAGCUAGGUGAUGAUAAACUUACCCAAUUCGUUGUGAAAAUAAUUGAACCAUCAGUAGCCGUGAUAGUCCUUACGUACCUGCCCUUUCAUGAGCCUUAAUAUUUGGUGGCUUAUUAGCUACGCACUAAUGGUAGUUAAUUGUGCUUAUUUUGUGCAUGUGUGUUCUAAUACAAUUACCUACCUAGUUCUAAUUGUUCUAAUUCGUCGUGGAAUGUUUUCAGAGGAGAAAACUGAAUGGGGUAGCAUAGAGCCCUAUUACAAAAUAAUGUAUCUAUAACCUUCUCUAAUUUACAUAGUAAUUGACGCAAUUUGGCCGAACUGUUUCUGAACACACUGCUUCAGUUCUUUAUAAACCACGUACCAUAUGUAUGUAUUCAAGUGUCAGAUAUACUGAACCUACAUCGCCAAAAUGGAGAGAAUUCAGGUCAGUAUAAUUUCCAAACACACCGUCAAACCAUCAGCUUCCUCUUCACUACUUCGGGAUUGUCUAUGGUACAGCGCUGUAUGCCAUACAUCCUCUAACAGGACUUGUGUGCACGUGCCUUGCAGUGGGGGUGGGUGUUUUGUUUUGAAAUUUUUAGCCUUGAAAGCAGGCUGCAUAUCAUGCAGGGCUGCAGAUAGAAUUUUCCCUGAAUAUCACGCAUAUCAGCGCUGCAUGAUAUGUAUGAUUGUCUAUGGUACAACGCUGCAUAUCAUGCAGCGCUGCAUUAAAGCAGACUGCAUAUCAUGCAACGCUGCAGGAUAUGCAGCCUGCUUUCAAGGCUAAAAAUUUCAAAAUAAAACACCCCCACCUGCAAGGCACGUGCGACACAAGUCCUGUUAGAGGAUGUAUGGCAUACAACGCUGUACCAUAGACAAUCCCACUACCCUACUUCAGCCUUACAAGCUUACCCUGCUCGACCAGCUCACUCCUCCAUCGUAUGUCCCCAUGGUAUUCUUCUACCCCAUUACUGGCCCUGCAGUCUUCAAUCUUCAAACCCUAGCUGACUUAAGACAUGCCCUUUCCGAGACUCUCACUUUGUACUAUCCACUCUCUGGAAGGGUCAAAAACAACCUAUACAUCGAUGAUUUUGAAGCCGGUAUCCCAUACCUUGAGGCCCGAGUGAAAUGUGACAUGACUCAUUUUCUAAGGCUUCCAAAAAUCGAGUGCCUAAAUGAGUUUGUUCCAAUAAAACCAUAUAGUAUGGAAGCAAUAUCUGAUGAGCUUUACCCCUUGCUUGGAGUUCAAGUCAACAUUUUCGAUUCUGGGAUAGCAAUAGGUGUCUCCGUCUGUCACAAGCUCAUCGAUGGCCGAACGUCAUACUGUUUUCUCAAGUCCUGGGGUGCUGUUUUUCGUGGGUGUCGUGAUGAAAUCAUACAUCCUAAUCUCUCUCAAGCAGCAUUGCUUUUCCCACCGAGAGAUGACCUGCCUGAAAAGUAUAUAGCUUUGAUGGAAGGGUGGUCGAUUGCCGUAAAGAAAGUUGCUACAAGGAGAUUUGUAUUUGGUGCGAAAGCCAUAUCUGCAAUUCAAGAUGAAGCGAAGAGCGAGUCCGUGCCCAAGCCAUCACGAGUUCAGGCCGUCUCUGGUUUUCUCUUGAAACAUCUUCUCUCUGCUUCUCGGGCAUCAUCAUCAGGUAAAUCAGUUUAUGUGUCUUCUUAAAAGUGCACCACAUGCAAUUGCGUGAUUGGCAAAGGAGGGCUAGGCGUGAUUAAUUAAGCUAGAGAAGACAAGGUUUUUCCAUUAAUUGUUAGUGAGGCUUGCUCAAAUGCGAGCGUACAAGAGUUUUCAGUAGCUUUAUUUCUGCUGCUUAGGUUAUACCGGAUUUGUUUUGUAAGUUAGAAAAAUACAACUUAUUGGAUAUUGUUAUAAGCAUCUAAUUAAUGAUAUGAAUGAAAAAGAAAAAAGAUCGUACACUUAACAUUUUUCUGCUAUUAUUUCAUACUUAUUUUAUAUUUUUGUAUUACAUAUACUGUACAUAGCUUAAAAAUGAGAAAAUAUAUGAACUUUUGCAGGUACUACUUCAACAAAACUUUCUAUAGCAGCUCAGGUAGUGAACUUAAGAUCACAGAUGAACAUGGAGACAACGUUGGGUAAUGCCAUUGGAAACCUGAUGUGGUGGGCUCCGGCCAUACUAGAGUUAAAUCAUAAAGCACGAGAGAGCAGCGAUCCUAAGCUGUGUGACUUGGUUAUCUUGCUCAAUGAAUCUGUCAAACAAUCUAACAGUGAUUACUUCGACACUUUCAAGGGUAAAGAGGGAUAUGGAAGAAUGUGUGAGCAUCUAGAUAUGGAGGGGACUGUAAGUUCUGUAGAACCAGCACCAGAGAUAUAUUCAUUCUCGAGCUGGACUAGAUUUUUCGACCAAAUUGAUUUUGGAUGCAUGGGGGAGGUCAUCUUGGAUUGGAGUUACCGGAAAACAAUCUGCAUAUUGGAAUUCCACAGUUUUAGUACCAACACAAUGUGAUACUGGAAUUGAAGCGUGGGUGAAUCUAGAUGAAGAGAAAAUGGCUAUGCUAGAACAAGAUCCCCAGUUUCUAGCAUUAGCAUCUCCAAAGACCCUAAUUUCAAGGUAUUGAUUAUGAAAGAUUAUGUGGCUCGUGCAAUGUUUCCAUUUGCAGUGAAUAAGGAUUAAAUUAGUUCCCCGGCCAAUUAAUAAGAAGCAAGGUAUGAUAGACUAUGGCUACGUAUGUUAGUAUGUUAUCCGAAUGUGCUUCGUUAUGCUUUUAACCAAUAUAGCUCUGUUUUGUAACAAUGCUCUAUUGAGCUUCUAACUAUAGAGUUAUUUUUCUUGAUUAGAAAAAGAAACUAUGCAAGUUUUGUUUUGUUAAGCUAUUCUGUUUCUAAAAGAAAGGCUAUUCUGUUUCUAAAACGGGAUGCAUGUAUUACCUAAAAAGAUGAUUCACCUAUAAUUAUUUUUCAAGUAAAUGAUUAUUUGAUAGCAAUCACGCCGUGUAUUUCUAUAGCUAAAAUUGUAAUUUAGAUCAGUGACAACAUGAUUAAAAGUUACAUAUUCUGAUACAUUUGUUAUUUAACGACAAGUGUGGCCAUAAUGCCUCACCUAGUCACCUAAUGCGAAGACCUCUACGAGAGACUAAUGUCGUCUGAUCUUCUUUUCUUAAUCAAAAGAAACGAAAAUGGCCACAAUGCCUCACUAUUCAUAGAACCAUACAAUAAUUUGGAACAUAUGCAUGGAUGCAAAGAAAAAUAACACAAGAACCAUCAUAAUUUCACAUUAUAUGAGAAACUUAGCCAAAUCCGAAUCACAUCCAUGUUGGCCAAGAGUGACUAAAGAAGACCACCCAGAAAGCUAGAAAACCAUAAAAUCCAGAAAACUUGAAUAAGCUAGGGAAAAAACAAAAAUGUGACAUUCCAUUUCUUCUUGCGGUUUUGUUAGGCCAAAUCAAAAUCUCAAUGACCCUGCAAUCAUUUACACACACUCUUUCUCAAUCUCUGCAAAACUGACUGCUUCCCCUGAAAACUUGCGCAAUAGGGUACCUAGCUCUCUGGCCUUUUCUUUCUAAUGCACAAUUUAUGGCUUUUGGUAAUGAUGAUUUUAUGCUUGUGGAUCUCAGAUGGGUUUGUUUUGUUUUGGGAUUUUUAUAAAUGAAUGCAUUGAAAAUGUUGAAAGCUUAUGCCUUUGUUCCUUGGUUCAGUGUUCUGGUUUUGUGUACGUACGAGAGUUGAAAUGUGAUCUCUAGUAUCGGUAAAGAGAAAUGUUCUAACCAUGCUAGUGUUAGUAAUUUAUCUUCUAAAGUUGUUUGAGUACUUUACUCUCUUACUUUACUAACUAAGCAUAGGAAAUAACGACCUAAACUACCUGAUUUUCGUUAGUGCUUGUAAACACGAAAAUUCCUGUAACGAAUAACAGAAAGACAUGUGUACAAAAUAAUAUAUUUGUAUUGAUUGAAUUUGCGGGUUACAAUCUCUAUGGGUAUUCUUUUAACAAGAAUGUCCUCUGAUUCGAUCUCCGAUGUUGAUUUGAUCCAAGGGUGACAAGCACUUGAUCUUGAAUUGAACUGUUGUAGUUUGAACUUCUUAUUGUGUUGACGAUUUGUAGAAGGAAGUUGACCAAGGGCCAUAGAGGCUUGAUCUUGGUCGAAUAUGGGCCGCGAGAGGUGUCACGUGGUGAACGUUCUUCGACUUGAUAGCGGAUGAAUCGGCACGUGUGUUUGGUACUUGUUGAUUCUCCACGAGGUUGUUGAAGAACUUGGUAGAAGUUUUGAUUUGUUGAAAGACUUGAAGACGAGGGUUGAUCAAGGGCCGUAGAGGCUUGACGUUGAUCGAGUUUGGGCCGAGCAGUUCCACAUGGUGGUUGCUCUUCGUCUUGUAGUUGGUGAAGAUGUCAGCUAUUUGGCAACUUGGGACUCUUCGGGAUUUGACAACCUAUAGGCUUGAGGUUGAUGAAGAAUCAACUAUUUGGCAGCUUGAUGAUUCUUCAAGGGUUUUGGGAGAAUUCUAAACUCUCGGGAGUAAUUUUUCUCUCUUGUCUGAAAGUCGUCCUCUUGAUAUGAGAGGGGGUAUUUAUAGUGUUAAUGCUCCUCCGUAAAUGGAAUGCAUUGAAGUCACAGCUUUAAUUAUAUUUCCUUAAUGAUAUAAUUAAAUCAAUCACUUUUGAUUGAUUGAUUCAAUUAUUCAAUUUCCCAUAAUUAAAUCAAUCAGUCUUAAUUGAUCGAUUUAGUUAUGAUCGAUAAGGUAUUUCACUAAUUUGAUUAAAUUCCGACUUCCUUUUCGAUAAUUGAUUUGAUUUGAUUGAUGUUUGAUUAUCGAUUGACAUUUAAUAUUUUAUUUUAGUUGGGAUUGAUGAUUUUGUUGUCGACCGACCAUUCACACGCCGCCACGUGUUAUUUUCGAAGACUUUUCAACUUUGCUGACUCACGAGCCACGUAUGCACGAGACUUUUCAACGUCUCUAAUUUACAUAGUAAUUGACGCAAUUUGGCCGAACUGUUUCUAAACACACUAAGCUUCAGUUCUAUAUAUACCGCGUACCACAUGUUUCAUCAAGUGUCAGAUAAUACAGAACCUACUUCGCCAAAAUGGAGAAAAUUGAGGUCAGUAUAAUUUCCAAACACACCAUCAAACCAUCAACUUCCUCUUCACCACUUCAGCCUUACAAGCUUACCCUGCUCGACCAGCUCACUCCUCCAUCGUAUGUCCCCAUGGUAUUCUUCUACCCCAUUACUGGCCCUGCAGUCUUCAAUCUUCAAACCCUAGCUGACUUAAGACAUGCCCUUUCCGAGACUCUCACUUUGUACUAUCCACUCUCUGGAAGGGUCAAAAACAACCUAUACAUCGAUGAUUUUGAAGAGGGUGUCCCAUACCUUGAGGCUCGAGUGAACUGUGACAUGAAUGAUUUUCUAAGGCUUCCGAAAAUCGAGUGCCUAAAUGAGUUUGUUCCAAUAAAACCAUUUAGUAUGGAAGCAAUAUCUGAUGAGCGUUACCCUUUGCUCGGAGUUCAAGUUAACAUUUUCAACUCCGGAAUAGCAAUCGGGGUCUCCGUCUCUCACAAGCUCAUCGAUGGAAGAACUUCAGACUGUUUUCUCAAGUCGUGGUGUGCUGUUUUUCGUGGUUCUCGUGACAAAAUCAUACAUCCUAAUCUCUCUCAAGCAGCAUUGCUUUUCCCACCAAGAGAUGACUUGCCUGAAAAGUAUGCCCGUCAGAUGGAAGGGUUAUGGUUUGUCGGAAAAAAAGUUGCUACAAGGAGAUUUGUAUUUGGUGCGAAAGCCAUAUCUGUAAUUCAAGAUGAAGCAAAGAGCGAGUCCGUGCCCAAGCCAUCACGAGUUCAGGCUGUCACUAGUUUUCUCUGGAAACAUCUAAUCGCUACUUCUCGAGCACUAACAUCAGGUAUGUAAAAUCAGUUUAGCAACAAGCCAAAUACUAAAGCAACUAAAUAAAAACCUAUUGUAUUUGGGGUAGUCCCUUAUUAGCUGUUGUCCUAAACUUCUAACGAUAUGAACUUUUUUCUCAAAAGAAAAAAAUAGUACACUUAACAUUUUCUGUUAUAAUUUCAUACUUAUUUAUAUAUUUUUAUUACAUACAUAGCUCAAAGAAUGAGAAAAUAUAUGAACCUGCAGGUACUACUUCAACAAGACUUUCUAUAGCAACCCAGGUAGUGAACAUAAGAUCACGGAGGAACAUGGAGACAGUGUGGGAUAAUGCCAUUGGAAACUUGAUAUGGUUCGCUCCGGCCAUACUAGAGCUAAGUCAUACAACACUAGAGAUCAGUGAUCUUAAGCUGUGUGACUUGGUUAACUUGCUCAAUGGAUCUGUCAAACAAUGUAACGGUGAUUACUUUGAGACUUUCAUGGGUAAAGAGGGAUAUGGAAGCAUGUGCGAGUAUCUAGAUUUUCAGAGGACUAUGAGUUCUAUGGAACCAGCACCAGAGAUUUAUUUAUUCACGAGCUGGACUAAUUUUUUCAACCAACUUGAUUUUGGAUGGGGGAGGACAUCAUGGAUUGGAGUUGCAGGAAAAAUUGAAUCUGCAUUUUGCAAUCUCAUAACAUUAGUUCCAACACCAUGCGAUACUGGAAUUGAAGCGUGGGUGAAUCUAGAAGAAGAAAAAAUGGCUAUGCUAGAACAAGAUCCCCAGUUUCUAGCACUAGCAUCUCCAAAGACGCUAAUUUCAAGAUAUUGAUUAAGGAAGAUUAUGCGGCUCGUGCAAUGUUUCCAUUUUGUUGUGAUUAAGGCUUAAAUUAGUUCACCAGCCAAUCAAUAAGAUGCAAGUAUGAUAGACUCGGUCUACGUAUGUUAUCCGAAUGUGUUUCCACAUGCUUGUAACCAAUAUAGCUCUUGUUUGUAACAAUGCUCUAUUAAGCUCUUCUAUCCAUAAAGUUAUUUCUCUAUUAAAAAGAAAACUAUACAAGUUUUGUUAAGUUUUUAAGGUAAGAUGCAUGUAGUACCCAAAAAGAUGGUUGACCUGUCAUUAUUUUCAAGUACAUGAUUAUCCGAUACAAUUACAUCAAAUAUUUCUAUAGCUAAAAAGUAUGUAAUUUUGAUCCGUGACAACAUGAUUAAAAAGUUAUAUAUUAUGAUGCAUUUAUCCUCUAACGACAAGCAUGGUCAUAAUGUCUCACCUCAUCACCUCACCAAGCGCGGAUCCAGUUCACAAGUGGGUAAGGCUCAAGCCCAACCAAGAAAAUUGGGGGAAAAAAAAACCUAAGUAUAGAUAUAUAUUUUUUUGGGUGAUAUAUCAUAUAUGCCCAGCCAUCAAGUGACCAAGCCCAACCCACCUAACUCAACCCAUCCCACUAACUACCCAAGUCCACAAUCAUCACUCAUCACUCAUCCACCCAACCUCCUUCAUCGAAGGAGUCCUUUAACUAAUCAGCUUAAACACCAAGUCUAAAAGUCUUCCCUGCUCUUCCCCUCCGCCUCCACUCAGUCACUCACCUAUGACCUAUCCCGGCUAUCCGGCUAUCCCUCUUCCCCUCCAGUCCUCCACGGCUCCACCAUAAUCUCCUUCUUCCCGGCCUCCUCCGGUCCUCCGAUUCCUCCCGGAUAGCGACGACUCGCCUCCGGCGGUCCGGACCUCCGCGGCUCCGCCUCCAGUCCUCCACUCACCUAUCCCUCUUCCAGCUGCUAGAAAGCUUGUUCGAGACUUGGUCCUCCACAGACAACCCAUUAGUCCAUUACCCAUCUUUCUUCACUCUCAGCCAGCAUGGUUGUACUAGAAAUUUUUUUUUGGCCUUCGGCCAAAGUUCAAGCCCACCCCAUCUUUAAAUCAUGGAUCCGCCACUGCACCUCACCAUAGUGUCCUAUCCUCUUAGGAGAAGGUAGGCACCUAAUGCAAAGGCCUUUAUGAGAGACUAAUAUCGUCUGAUCUUCUUUUCUUAAUCAAAAGAAAUGAAAAUGGCCACAAUGCCUCACUAUUCAUAGAGCCAUACAAUACUCUGGAACAUAUGCAUGGAGACAAAGAAAAAUAACACAAGAACCAUUAUAAUUUCACUUUAUACGGGAAACUUAGCUAAAUCCGAAUCAUGGGCGGAGCCAACCCAGGUGAAAUUUUGAAGCCCAAAAAAUUACCUGAAACAUCGUCGUUUGGGUGUAGGUUAUUUCUCCGUUUACUUCUUCUCAAUCUUAGUCAUAACUCACACCAUUGCGUCCGUAGCCCGUCGUUGUCGCUAGAGCGGUCGCCAUUUCCCAUAGCCCGCGCCGUCGCCCGUAGACCACAUCCCGAGUCAGUCAGUCCCCACUUGGCUACUUCCCCAGGUAUGGCUCAAUCGGAUUGCUUAUAUUCUGAUCGUGGACAUAGCAGGCUUCAAUUCAAAAGCCAUCAUAUUCAUAUGCUUCAAUGUUGCUUUACUUCGUCUAUAACUAGAGUUUCAGCUUUGCUUCGUCUUCAAUGUUGAUAUGUUGAUAUAAAAUAUUAACUUGAUUAGGAUUUGUUGAUAUAGAAUAUUACCUUGAUUAGGAUUUGUUGUUAUGUAAUAUGUAUUAGGAUAUUUAUUACUCAUAUUAGGAUUUGUUAUAUGAUCUUACAUCCUUACGAAUGAAUAUACAUCAACACAAUCGAAAUCUGCAUGGUCAUAUUAGCCUUAACUAGUUCAGUCCAAUUCAUAUUAGUCUUAAACUAGUUCAGUCUAAUUCCUCAUGGGUAUAUGCUGAACUUUAAGAUGUUGAUCUUCUAUAAUAACUGAGUUCGAUACCAGAAAUCUUUGAUGAUUGUCCACAUAUGUUAUCUUAUAAUCCUAUAUUAAUUUGUACUAAUCUCAUAGUCUUAAUUUGAAAGCUCCUUAUACGUCUUAACUUGGAUAUGGAUGUGGAUUUGAUCUUAUUAUAUGUAAUAUUAAAGUGAAGUUGUUGUAUUACACAGAAUGUUUGAUGAAUAAAUAACAAAUUGAUCGCGUCAAAAGGCUAGAUCAAAAAAUUUCUUGCACCAUCGAACAAAUUUUCUUGUGUAUACAAUUUCAUGGUUCCGCCACAUUGGCAACAAAGAGUGAUUGGAAAAGAAGAACACCCAGAAAGAUAAAAACCAUAAAACUUGUUUAAGCGAAAAAAACAAAAGUAUGCCAUUCAUUUCUUCUUGCGGUUUUGUUAGGCCAAAAAUCAAAAUCCCAUGAUACCCAAUCAGUUACACACUCUCCCUCUCAAUCUCUACAGAACUGACUGCUUCCCCUGAAAACUUGCGCAAUAAGGUACCCAUCUCUCUGGCCUUUUCUUUGUAAUGCAUAUAAGUUCCUGUAAAUUUUAAAGCUUUUGGAAUGAUGAUUUUAUGCUUGUGGAUCUCAAGAUGAGUUUGUUUGUUUUUUUCGGGAUUUUUAUAAUGAAUGCAUUGAAAAUGUUGAAAGCUUAUGCCUUUGUUCCUUGGUUCAGUGUUUUGGUUUUGUAUACGAGAGUUGAAAUGUGAUCUCUAGCUUGACUGUUGGUAUUGGUAAAGAGAAAUGUUCUAGAAAACCAUGCUAGUAUUAGUAAGUUAUCUUCUAAAGUUGUUCGAGUACUGUACUAAGCAUAGGAAAUAACGACCUAAGCUACCUUAUUUUCGUUAGUGCUAGCUGCUAUGAGAAACUUACCCAAUUCGUUGUUAAAAAUAGGGAAAAUACCCAAAUACUCAAAAAUUAGAAAGCUAAAACCCAUUCCAAUGAAAUUAUAAUCCUUUAGCUCAUUCCUAUGUUACACCGAUACUCCACCCCACGGACACUCCAACACUCCCGACACACCGAUAUCGAUACGAUACACCAAAAUGUGUGUCCGACACGCCACGUGGCGUGUCAAAAAAAGUUGACUUUUUAGACACGUUACGUCAGCCUGAGACACGCCAAGUCAGUGUGUAUUGAUUGAAAAAAAAAAAUACAGAACUAAAAGUCUAAAACCUAAUCGAAGAGGAAGCCCACUUUAAAGAAGCCGCAUAGAAGAGGAACGAUGUCACCGUUCACUAUCACUGCGAGAACGACGUCGUCUGUCCAUGUCAGUGUGAUUGUUCCUCCGAUGACACCACUCUGCGAGAACGACGAGAACAGCGUCGCCUUUCUCUGUUACAGCGACUCGUCCUCCGUCGGCCUAAACCCUCUCUUUAGUGUAAGGUUAAUCUUAAUCUCAGCUUUGACGUGUUUGGUGAUUGCAGUCUCAUUUGCAGUAACAGAAAAGCAUAUAAGAUUUUAAUCAUUUUAUGAUCAUUCUGAUACCACUUAUAGAUUUUUAAGGCAAUGUGCUAUUGAAGCAUCUGCACUGUGAUGUUAAGUGUCAUGAUAUUGCUCAAUUGCUGAUAGGGUAGGAUGGAGCUAGACAUUUGAGACUUUGCAAAAUUGAGUUUAUACCUACUAGUAUUAGAUCAUCAAUUAGUUGAGAGUUUGUAGGAGGUCAGGUUUUAUACUUGGUGAGAAACAUCGGCUCAUCUGUAUUUGUAAGGAAGAUUUAAUUGAAAGGAGUUGUGUAUGGAUUGCUUAUUUGUUUAUCUUUGCUCUGUUAAUUGUUAAUAUGUUAUGAUAUGCUGCUGUGUCUAUGCUGAUGUGCUUAUGCUACUGUGUGUCUAUGCUACUGUGUCUAUGCUAUUGUCUUAUGUUGUUUUGUUGGAUUAUUAUGAUUAGGAUGAGUUCAAGUGCGACAUCUACUGAACCUAGUGUUGAAUCAACUAAGCCUGAAAAAUUAGAUGCUCCUCUAUCAAGGAUAAAGGAUGAUGCCAAUGCAUGCGUGCCUUGCUCUUAUGUAUUUUGAAUAUCUCAGUUAUGGGGUUUUAGGCAGUUGGUGUUAUUAUAGGGUUAGGAAAGUCGGAUUUUCAUUCAGUUUGAUGAAUGUGUUGAAUUAGAUAAAACUAUUUAGUAAUCAUCCUUUAGAUUAAAUAUUGACUCUCUUUUAUGUUAUUUGUUACAGUUAUGCAAUUGCUUAAAUUUAGAGCAUUAUUUAAGCAAUGUGAUAAAUUUAUUCAUAUUUGAGCAUUUUUUUAUUAAUUAGAAAUAUACAAAUAAGUAAUUAUAUUUGCCGUGUCUAAGCCGUGUCGAAAAUGUAGUCUUUGAGUUUUGCCGUGUCGCCGUGUCAGUACGUAUCGUGUCGCCGUAUCCGUGUCCGUGUCCAUGUAACAUAGGCUCAUUCCAAUGAUUCUUAUGCAAAAGACAUUAUUANNNNNNNNNNNNNNNNNNNNCUCUCUCUCUCUCUCUCUCUCUCUCUCUCUCUCCUCUCUCUCUCUCUCUCUCUCUCUCUCUCUCUCUCUCUCUCUCUCUCUCGGUGUACGACGAUGCAAGGUUGAAGACGCAGCCUCCUACUGAGUCGACGAGACCGCGCUCGUGGUCGUGAUUCUCCUCAACAGCGACAUCGAUUUUGGCGGCACCUCUCGGAGAUGAUCCUCAUCUGCCAGAACCUCUGCAACAAUCUCUAGAGCCCUAACGAGCACAUCCGGGGCGUCACGCUCCAGUUCCUCUACUGGUUGAGCAAGUUGGAGAUUGUCCGGCCGUUGAUUUCAUCGAUUUUGGCCAAUCUAGUCAGAGAUUGAGGUCUGUGUUUAGUGCAAACAUGGAUAACGUUCUUCUUCUCCUUUUUUUAUCGGAGAUCGUGUUUUUGUUUUUGUUUUGGUCAGAGAGAUUGUGGUUUUUUCCCCUUUUUUUUUCAAUAUAAUGGUUAUUAAAUGAUAGUAUCUUGAUUAUUGGAGUAAUUAGUCUAUUAUUGGGAGGUAAGAAGUAUCUAGUGGAGGUCAAUAAACAUUUAUUGACCCCAAUAUUGCUUUUAUAAAUUUUUUUUGAGAUGUAGGGAUUUGCCUUAGAGGUAAAAACUUCCUUUUUAACUCGAUUACUAGGAAUCAUUAACUGAUUAUUGAGGUUAAGUAACUGAUUAUUGAGGGUCAGUAAGUGAUUAUUGGGGUUCAGUAACUGAUUAUUGGGGGUUAAUAACUGAUUAUUGGGGGUCAUUUUGAGAGUCAGUAACCGAGUUAUUGGUGAUCAGAAUCCAGCAACCGGAAAAAAUCUGAGUUACUGGGGGUCAGUAACUAAGUUACCGGUUAUCGGAAUCAGGCGACCGGAGAAAAUAUGAGUUACUAGGAGUCAAUAACGGCGACCGAAGAAAUUUCUGGCAACCGGGGACCGGAAUCCGGCGACCGGCAACCAGAGUCCGGCGGCGGGUGACCGGAGUCCGGUGAGAUUCCGGCCAAGUAUUCUCUCUCUUCCACUUUCUCUCUCUAUACAUGUUGAAGUGGUGAGAGUAAAAUUGUCUUAAAAAUAUAUAAAAAUUAUUUUUUAUUAUAACAUUAGUAAAGAUUUGUGCAUAAAAAAUGUUACCUUAUAUUGGAAUGAGCUCAUGAAAAAGAUUAACAUUAAAAUGGGGAAUAAGAGGUUUAAAUUAGUAUUAAAUUGACAUUUUCCCUUUAAAAUAAUAACAGAACCAUCAAUGCCGUGAUAGUCCCUUAAUAUUUGGUGGCUAAUUAGUAAUGCAUUCAUGGUAGUUGUGCUUAUUUUGUGCAUGUAUUCUAAUUCUAUCACUUGCAAAAUCGUUGUGGAAGGUUAAGAGGAGAAAACAGAAAAUGGGGCAGCAUGCAUCUCAUUUUAUUUCCGAUCAUAUUUUCAUAUCAUAGACGUUCACUAUUUAGAUAUACAUGAGUUGAUCAUCUCUACAAAAUUUCAACUAAUUUAGUUAUCAUUAAGGUAUCGAAAAUGUAUUAAAUCAAUGAACGAACCGAAUCUGUUCAUCCUGAACUGUACGUUCUAUUAGUUCUAAAUCACAGUUUUGAAUGUCUUAAUGAUUAUCAACUUGGCUGAAAAUUUAUAUAGAUGAUCUACUGAUAUAUAUACCUAAAAUAUGAACGGUUGAGAUGAGAAAAUAUGAUCGAAAGUGGGACAAAUAAUGAAAUCCGUACCUUAGAUAAGGUAAGGAGGUCCUUACCUGAUCAAGAUUGUGUGUGUGUGUCUAUAGAGUUUAGGGUUUAGAGUUUUAGGGUGUCAUGAAGAUAUCAUACAUCCUAAUCUCUCUGAAGCAGCAUUGCUUUUCCCACCGAGAGAUGACUUGCCUGAAAAGUAUGCCGGUCAGAUGGAAGGGUUAUGGUUUGCCGGAAAGAAUGUUGCUACAAGGAGAUUUGUAUUUGGUGCGAAAGCCAUAUCUUCAAUUCAAGAUGAAGCGAAGAGCGAGUCUGUGCCCAAGCCAUCACAAGUUCAGGC
rnacentral:lncRNA from 1 species